rnacentral:lncRNA from 1 species
GCCAUCAUACGCAGACAACAACCAAUUCUACCAACCUGCAACGAUUCAUGGGUAUCAGCUCGCAUCAUACCUAAAACAGAUGAAUGCUAAUCGAAAUCCUUACUCUAGCAUGCCAUUGGACCCACAGCGACUUCCAAAAUCUUCUGCAUCGGCUGUGCCAACCUAUGUCGAUUCUGUCAUGCAUGCUCGUAACCAGAACUUGCUUGCUUCAUUGGGAGCUACUCCUUCACAGAUCGCAGCAACAUCCCGGAUAGGUACUAUGAUGGCAGAAAGAUCCUAUUAUGUCCCUUCCACUCUUGACGGGAAUGAAAAUGCUGGUUCAUCAGCUUACUCAAAGAAGUACCACAGCUCACCAGACAUAUCUGCACUGAUUGCUGCAAGCAGGAGUGCUCUGUUGAAUGAAUCAAAGUUGGGUGGUGGUACCAUUGGAUCCCAGUCGUACCUUAGCAGGCUUGCAUCGGAAAGAUCUCAGUAUACAAACUCGGUGGCCAGGCCUGCAGCUCCCUUGGCGUUUGAUGAGCUCUCUCCACCUAAGCUCCCAGGGGAUAUCUUCUCAAUGCAACAAAGCCCAAACCCAAGUGCAAGAUCCCUUUGGGCUAAGCAACCUUUUGAGCAGCUGUUUGGUGUGUCGAGUGCGGAGCUCACUAAAAGCGAGUUCAACCCUGCAGGCAGAUCGGGUGGCAUGACCAAGGAUGAUUUCUCUUACAAGGAGUCUGAGGCGAAGCUUCUUCAGUCUCUUAGAUUCUGCAUCUCGAAGCUCCUGAAGCUAGAAGGAUCAGGGUGGCUGUUCAAGCAAAAUGGUGGCAGCGACGAAGAUCUGAUUGAUCAAGUUGCUGCGGUAGAGAAGCUAUUGCAACAAGGAACCAGUGACAACCAACUGCUGCUUGGUGAUACUCAGCAACCACCAUGUGAUAAGGCAGACAUCCAGUACAUGCGCGUACUGCCUAACUGCGGAGACGACUGCAUCUGGCGCGCCUCCCUCGUUGUCAGCUUCGGUGUCUGGUGCAUCCGCCGGGUGCUAGACCUGUCUCUGGUGGAAAGCAGGCCAGAACUUUGGGGCAAGUAUACCUAUGUUCUCAACCGUCUUCAGGUGAGCUAUUUCAGUCCUGAACUAGUCUGAAUUUGAGUGUUGUUUUUCAGUGCCCAAGACUUGACUGCAAACCUGAAACUGCUCAUUUUCAACGUACAAGACUAACUCUGUCAAUCAUUUUUUUCGCUCAAAUGUAAUGCAGGGCAUCCUGGAUCCUGCAUUCUCCAAGCCUCGGAGUGCUCUCAGCGCGUGUGCGUGCCUUCACAGAGAUAUCCGGGUGCUCAACAGCCUGCGCCACAGUAGCCUGGUAGCAACAAACUCCAUUCCAAGGCAAAUCCGAGGUUCCUUCACCACCGCAUCUGUGGUCCUGGAGAUGAUCAAGGAUGUGGAGACCGCAGUCUCAGGGCGCAAGGGCAGGAGUGGCACCGCAGCUGGGGAUGUCGCCUUCCCCAAGGGGAAGGAGAACCUGGCCUCCGUGCUGAAGCGAUACAAGCGGAGGCUCUCGAGCAAGGGACAACAAUAAUAAGGCAUCUGGGCAGCGUGAUCCUGUCGCGUUUUAGGGGGACUUUGACCAUUGUUCUUCAAGGAUGGCAGCCAGCCAUGGUGGCUUGCCCUCCCUGAGCCCUGGAUUUUUUCGUUGCACAACGUUUGCAGGGACCUGAGGAAUUGGCCAACACUUCUGGUCCCUUCCAUCAUAUUUCGUUUUUUUUUGUUUCUUUCUUGUUUUUUUUUUUUUUUUUGCAUGUGAUGUGUUGUAUAAUGGUAACUGUUCAUGUGCCAGAAGAACAACCACCAAAAUGUACAACAGAUGUAGUCAGCUGAUGCACCAUUGUAAAGUUUAGUCUCUGCAUUUUAACCUUUUUUUUGGGGGUCAUUGACAAACUGAAUGAAUGCCCUGUGUAAUCUCUCUUCAGAGAGGAUGCCAAGACUGAGAAAAAGCUUUUGCCAGAUUUCCAGAUUCCUUGUGUUCAUCUAAUAUCUGUCAUGUCUCUCACAUUUUCUCCAGCUUAUGAUCUUUUUGUCUCGUUGGCAUUUGAUAGCGUGUGCUGGAGAUGUCUACCGUAUAUGUGGAUUACUGUAUUAAGCUUCUGGGACCGGUGUAUAUAUAUAAUUUGUAUGGAUAGAGAUAAAGAAAUACUAACUCGAUAUGGAUUAGUUAUAUCCUAAUGUUUCUCUAAACACCAGGCGUAGUGGCACUGUACUGCAACCUCACCCAAGAACAUGUUUUUGGGGUUCAGACUUGAGAGUAUCCAUUGCUGAAUUUGCCUCACCGCAAGUUUAGUCUUGCAUUUCACAAAAUUGCAAGGAUAGCUAACAAUUUUAUCACAAAACCAUAAACUUUGUGGCCGUGCAAUUGGAUAUGCUCUCUUUGCUCAGAAGCUUUUGAGGAUACUGAUCACCUGUUCAGAAACUGUGCCUUUGGACUUGAUUUGUACCGGGAAACUUGACAACCCGGCCGACACAGUAUUCUCGAUUAGAUGUUGGGAAAACAAGAUAGCCAAAACAAAUACGGCACAAAAGGCAAAGGAGACCUCUGGGAAUACUAAUCAGGAGAGAGAAACUUAGGUGGUGUUUGAAUCUUCCUUUAAGAUGAAGAUUAAGUGUUUCACGUAAAACGAGGUGAUAAUAUUAUGUGAUUAAUUAAGUUCUAAUCAUUACAAACUUGAAAAAUAUAUUAAUUUGAUAUUUUAGAACAACUUUUAUAUAGAAAGUGUUCACAUGAAACUACCGUUUAGCAGUUUAGAAAAGCGUGCCACGAGUAUCCAAAAGCUUAUCAAUUUUGUUGGAGAAAAGAAUAGGGUUAGUCUUCCAAGGUUCUUUUAUUCGGCAGAGCUCCCGCUGUCGGUUCUUUAAAGAAAAACUCGUAGAUUAGGCCACCCAUCAAAUAUAAAUGUAAUACUCCAUUACACAAAUUUAAUUUUACAUAAGGGUUCAAAAUUACAUUAUAGUUUAUUUACACUACGAAUUACAUCUGGGUAAAUUUUUAGAAAUUUGGAAGCAAAACCGUGAACACGUCAUCAAAAACUGGAUGUGGGCUCCACGAGUUCAGAGGAUGUUCCGAACCCGUUUUGAUCGCCCACGGCCCGCCGCCCCGCCGUGGAGCCGAUCCCCGCCACCGCCGGCGAGCAGCUGUUCCGGACGGCGUCCUGCUGCUCCCUGCGCCGCCCCCAUCCCCUCGGCCUCCGCCGAGCUCGUUCCUGCGCGGUGAGCAUCCUUGCCGACGCACCAGAACCCUCUUUUUUUUCUCUCUCUCUCUCGUUGUACCCACACACCUCUACUCGAAUUUGCUCUAUCUUCUCUUGUAGAUCUGAAAGCUAGGUUUUCUUUUUUACUUGUCUUAACCUUUAGUUACAUAACAGGUUUUUUCCCACAUCAGGUCCACAUCGAUCUAUAAUAGCCAAGAGCCCAAGACCUGCAGGGCUUCCCGGGGGUGGUGCAUCUUCUCAGGCGGAGGGGCCUCCUUGGAUUCCUUGAAGUUUAUGGCGCCGGCGACCAAACUCAUCACCGUGUGUGCACCGGCAAAUAUGACGAACAGGUCCCCCUGUACAUGUGCGCGGUCACCUUGAGUUGGUCACCCCUGUCAAAACAUAGUAACUUUGUCAAAACCUAACCUAAACAAACAUGUUUUUUUCACAAAAUUCUUCAUUCUUACCUCAUGUCUGAUUUUAACAAAUCUAGCCUGUGGUUUGCCUUCAGAUGAGCAAUACGCCAUCCAUGCAUACUUCCUGCCGCCCUCUCCUGUUUCCUAAUGCGCUGCUCAAGGCGCCUCAUCAUAACCUUUUGCACCAGAAAAGCAUCAAAAUGUUGCUUGUCAGCACAAAACAAUAAAUCCUUCUCAAGUCUCAACGAGGGGGUAAAACUUCCAGCAUCACAGGUAGCUUCUCCAGGUCACUCCUCUCUCAUCCAGUUAGGAAUCGUGGAUGCAAAUGCAGAAUCGAUUUCAUCCGUCCCCGAAAAGAAAUACAAGGGAUUUUGGCAAUGCGAAUGCAGAGCCAAACUCCCUCAUAUUUGGAUUUGGGGACAGAGGUAGCAGAUAGGCAAGGCAAUUAGAGCAGUAAUUUUACCCUGGUAGCUCUUGUGGAGAAAUAGCGGGGCUGGGCGAGUGCGGAGGAAGCCCAUGGUGGGGUGGAGGUGGCGGCGGACUGAACAAGAAACAACAAGUUAGGCGCAUUUAACGGAGGAAUAGUGCAGUAGCAAUAACUAGGAAGCUUGUGCAACAAAAUAAGCAAGCACACGCGACAACAAAAUGAUCCAAUCCAAUUACUUAGAAUCAACUCAACUCAAUAGUGCAGUAGUAGCAAAUCAGAAAACAACUUCAACUCGGACUGGCAGCUGCUGACGCAGGACGAGGCGCGCGGCCACGUCCGCGAGUACGCCGACAACGCCGCCCUCUGGGACCACGACUUCGCCGCCUCGCUGCUCAAGCUCAGCAAGCUGCCCAUGCCGGUGGGGAGCAAGGGGGAGAUCAGGAACAAGUGCGGCGCCAUCAACCACAGCAAGAGCUAAUUCGGCCACUUAUGCAGGGGGUUACGUACAUGCAUGCAGACGAUGUGGUCGUAGCCAUAUGUUUUCUUGUUAUAUCUCAUCGUUCUAAAAUACAGAAAACCUUGUACUCGAAAAAAACAUCAUAUAGUACUAUCAAAUCAGUCUAGAUUUAUACUACUAGAUAGCUAGUGUCUAAUCGAGUACUAGGAGUAUAUUUUAAAACAAGAGUAGUUUGUUAUUACUUGGUACUAGCACGUCAGUGAAUGUACGUGCACAAGAAAUCCUCGUCGAUAAUGAAAACUAGCAUGGUAUUGGAGAAUCCAUCUCUUAAACCCAUCAAGUCGAAAUCCUGAAGCACCAAAAUCCCCCUACUUGAUACGCAACUAUCGACGUUUGAUGUCGCAAUUCUGGUAUUUGCAUAGUAUGGGGAUCGUCGGUGCUAGGAUAUACGCGAGACUGAGGUGAAAGAGACGGAGACAAGGAUUUUUAUACAGGUUCGGGCCCCUGAGUUGUCAGGUAAUAACCCUACAUCCUGUUGGCCGGAGCCGGUAUUGCUUUUAUUCACCAUAAUCACACCAGUACAAUAUGUGGGGUAGCCUAUUUAACUGUUGUCGACAUGUCGGUCUGAAGGUCUGACUCGUAGUCGACAACAGGGUAGCCUUCCUCCUCGAAUCCGUGUCCGGCGAGAUCAGAGAUAGCGCUUUCGUCUCUCCUGACGGUAUCCGGAGACACCGUAGGGGAAUAGCCAUGCCUAUCCCUGAAGUCGAUAUCCGGCGGCUUGUCUUGGCAUAUGUUGGCUUGUAUGUUGUGGCUUCUGUUGUUCCGUAUAUUGUGGUGGUUGUUGAUUGAGGUGGUCGUCUGUGUCGAUCGUGGUGACUGUGUUGAUCCUGUCAUGGUGGGUGUCCCACUGUCCUCCUAGGGGGGCUUGUAUUUAUACCUAUAGGUGUCCCAUUGUCCAAGUAGAACUAGGGAAACCAAUAUGGAUACAAUCCGAGUAGUCCUUGUCGUUUCCAUGUAAAACUCUGGUUGUCUUUCCUUAUCCGGAACUCCCUCCAUAACUGAAGUUAGUUUCUGUAUAAGACAUGGUAUGUGGUGGGUCCUGCCGAGAUUUAGUCAACUACUAUUAGGUAUGUGGUAUCCAUAACCCUGACAGUAGCCCCCGACUUCAAUGCAAAUGAACGAAUUCAUAUUCUCAACCGCAGACCCUGGAGUAACUGUUGUCGUGCUCACGUUACCGUUCUCGGUGAGUUUAGAGAUAACGUUAGACUUUCUUUAUCAGCCUCGUGCGGGCACCAAAAGGGUUUGUCUAAGUCAAUCUCUGAUGUCAACCAAGGAAGUACAGAGCGUACGACUAAGUCUCCCGUCUUGCUGUAAUCGAGAAUUUGGAUUGAAGUCAAGAAAUUCUAUCUCGGCUGGUACACCAUCUCUUCAUUCCGUAUUCCUUGUCGAGAUCCAGCAACCGUUCUCGAGCGAUCGAGAAGGCGUAGAGUCUGCGACGGAGCCUUGUCAACAUUUGUCGUACUCGCCAUAGUCGAUCUUGGUGUAGAACCAUAGAGACAUAGAGUCUUCGUCAAUGUCGAAUAGAAUUUUCCUGAAAUCAAUACUCAGAAAAGAAUAUUAGAUAGAAAUAGCCCCCGAGCGAAUGCCCAAAGGGUGAUAAUGUUAUAAUAUGUAUGGUAAAUUGAAAAUGAAUUAAAUUUACCGACCAAUGUUUUGUGUAUGAGCGUCUUCUCUCUUACCGACUUCGAUCAGUCAGUUUGUAGAGUCAUACACUCUCCCUAGCCCCCAGCCUUGUCAUCGGAGAAUCGUUCUCGGAGGAUAAGGCUCUUGGACCCUUGACCUGCCUUGGUUGAACAAACACUGAUCCUAGCCCCCAGCCGUGAAGUUGGAAAGCUCAGUUUCCGAUUACACGGCUUGGUUAAUACGCACGGCGAGAACUCUUACACGACCAGAUCUUACAUGGUCUUUUGUCUCUACAGGAUCCGACAAGGCCUUAUCGGCUCUGGGCGUCCCCAGCCGAAGUUCCCUUAGGUUCCUCGGAGGCCUUGUCAAGACGGCGUAAUGGGACAGUAGGAUAGGUUUCAACGCUAGGUGUCGUCGUGGUAAGGGAUCUCUGGGUAAAACACUUGGCGAUAUUGUAUACCAGCUAUCAACUUUGUUGAAAUAGAGGUAGUAGGAGAGUCGUUACACCGCUGGUCGAGAACCAGGCAGUAGUCAUAACUCGACCACUUAAAGUGGAAAUAGUGGGAGAAACGCUACAUCGCUGGUCGAGAACCAGGCAGUAGUCGUAUCUCGACCACUUAAAGUGGAAAUAGUGGGAGAAACGCUACAUCGCUGGUCGAGGACCAGGCAGUAGUUGUAACUCGACCAAUUAAAGUGGAAGUAGUGGGAGAGACGCUACAGCGCUGGUCGAGGACCAGGCAGUAGUCGUAACUCGACCACUUAAAGUGGAAAUAGUGGGAGAAACGCUACAUCGCUGGUCGAGGACCAGGCAGUAGUCGUAACUCGACCACUUAAAGUGGAAGUAGUGGGAGAAACGCUACAUCGCUGGUCGAGGACCAGGCAGUAGUCGUCACUCAACCACUUAAAGUGGAAGUGGUGGGAGAAACGCUACAUCGCUGGUCGAGGACCAGGCAGUAGUCGUCACUCGACCACUUAAAGUGGAAGUGGUGGGAGAAACGCUACAUCGCUGGUCGAGGACCAGGCAGUAGUCGUAACUCGACCACUAGAAGCAAAUGUACGAGAGAUUACUACGAUCAACUGGUUGAGAACCGGUGAGUAGGUGUCCCUCGAUCAUUUGGAGUCGUGGUACGAGGACCACUACGCUGCCGGUCGAAGACCAGUCGUAGCUGUUCCUCAACCAUCUGAAGUCAUGGUGCGAGGACCGCUACGAUGCCGUAGUCAUACCUCGACCAUCUGAAGUUAAGGUGCGAAAGAUUGCUACGUACUGGUGCGAGAACCAGCGUGCGAGCAGAAUUAUCUCUCGAACACCAAUGGAAGUUGCGGUGUGAGAGAUUGCUACGUAUUGGUGCGAGAACCAGUGAGCGAGCAGAAUUACCUCUCGAACACCAAUGGAAGUUGCGGUGUGAGAGAUUGCUACGUACUGGUGCGAUAACCAGUGAGCGAGCAAAAUUAUCUCUCGAACACCAAUGGAAGCUGCGGUGUGAGAGAUUGCUACGUACUGGUGCGAGAACCAGUGAGCGAGCAGAAUUAUCUCUCGAACACCAGUGGAAGUGCUAGAGUUGGUUUAUUGCAAGUGUAUCUCAUGUGGCCAGCAUGACUCACGUACCCAACUUAUAGCAUAUCCGGAUGUCCGUUCGCAAUCAUGUCGGGUGAUCAAGCCGACGACGUUCGCAAGGAAUUAUCCGUUAACAACCUUUUCUCAAGUAGUCCAGCCAUGGCCGGUGCUAUGAGAUAGGUCGUCGGUCUUUGUUGGUAGGUUGGGUGCGAUAACUCCGCAUUUGUCGAGAAUGUUCUCGAUAAUGGAGUAUAUUCGACCAUAACCUACUCGAGUGCUCAAUUGUUCCUGAAAAAUAUUUUCUAGAAGGCAAGAUAUAUAGCAGAUAAUAUCGAGUAUGUACUCAAAGAACUGCAUGGAUCUUCUAGUAUUAUCAGGAUACAAUAAGCAGAUGUAAAUAUCAGGGCAUUAUGUAAACCGUAAACAAGCAUGAUUUAUACAUAAGAGAACGGAGUGAGCCCCCAGCGUUAGACCGUAGUUGGUCUAUCGUCGGAAGUACUCGCACAACGGAUGUUGUAUAAGAAACAUGCUCUAGGUAAACAUAAUAAAUUGCUGAUAUGAUAAUGUUGUAUCAUCUGAAUAGGUACGAUAAAUUGCAUAUAAAAUAUUACGUACCUUUGUAGAUACAUGCCGGAUGUAUCUACGAAAUUAGUAGAUCAAUUUGAAAAACCAAUCUACCAAUUACCUUAUUGCGUACUCGUUCGACAUCAUAUGAUCUGACAUCUUUUGGUACGGCGCGGAGCUUGAGGCUUGGGUGAUCUCGAUAGACCAAGUUGUCGAUGACGAUGAUGGUUCUGAUCUUGUCGGAAGACAUGUUCCGGUCGGGUUAGAUCUCCACAGCCGAAGUCGUCGAGUAGUUUGCUAUUGGAGAAUCCAUCUCUUAAACCCAUCUCGUCGAAAUCCUGAAGCACCAAAAUCCCUCUACCUGGCGCGCCACUGUCGACGUUUGAUGUCGCAAUUCUGGUAUUUGCAUAGUAUGGGGAUCAUCGGUGCUAGAAUAUACGCGAGACUGAGGUGAAAGAGACGGAGACAAGGAUUUUUAUACAGGUUCGGGCCCCUGAGUUGUCAGGUAAUAACCCUACAUCCUGUUGGCCGGAGCCGGUAUUGCUUUUAUUCACCAUAAUCACACCAGUACAAUAUGUGGGGUAGCCUAUCUAACUGUUGUCGACAUGUCGGUCUGAAGGUCUGACUCGUAGUCGACAACAGGGUAGCCUUCCUCCUCGAAUCUGUGUCCGGCGAGAUCAGAGAUAGCGCUUUCGUCUCUCCUGACGGUAUCCGGAGACACCGUAGGGGAAUAGCCAUGCUAUCCCUGAAGUCGAUAUCCGGCGGCUUGUCUUAGCAUGUGUUGGCUUGUAUGUUGUGGCUUCUGUUGUUCCGUAUAUUGUGGUGGUUGUUGAUUGAGGUGGUCGUCUGUGUCGAUCGUGGUGACUGUGUUGAUCCUGUCAUGGUGGGUGUCCCCGUGUCCUCCUAGGGGGGCUUGUAUUUAUACCCAUAGGUGUCCCAUUGUCCAAGUAGAAGUAGGGAAACCAAUAUGGAUACAAUCCGAGUAGUCCUUGUCGUUUCCAUGUAAAACUUUUGUUGUCUUUCCUUAUCCGGAACUCUCUCCAUAACUGAAGUCAGUUUUCGUAUAAGACAUGGUAUGUGGUGGGUCCUGCCGAGAUUUAGUCAACUACUAUUAGGUAUGUGGUAUCCAUAACCCUGACAAUAGUAUGUUUUCUCAUUAUAUUAUUCAAAUAUAUUAAAAUGACAACAUAAUUUUAAAUUUUGCAAUAACUUUACAAAACUACUAAUAUGUAAUAUUCAUAUUGUAUUUUAUAUACGUGUUAGUUAUUAAUUAUUUUUAAUAUCAAAUUUUAGUUAUUUGUAAAUUAUAUAUAUUGACUCAUUUUUUAAUAUUUUUUUUAAUAUUGACUCUAUGCUCUUCUUCCAAUAUUAUUUAUUUUUAUUUCAGAAUUUUUAUUAUUUCUAAUUGUAUUUCUAUGUGGACUCUAAACUAAUUUUUAAUUUUGAAUUUCAGUUACUUCUAAAUUGUAUUCCUAUAUUGACUUUAAACUCUUCUUCAAAUGUUUUUCUUAAUUUUGAAUUUUAGUUAUUUGUAAAAUGUAUUUUUAUACGGACUCUAAACUCUACUUUUAAUUUUAUUAUGUUUAUUCCAAAUUUUAGUUAGUUUUAAAUUCCUAUAUGGACUCUAUACUCUACUUCUAAUAUUCCUUAUUUUUUAAUUCCAAAUUUCUAUUUUUUUCUUAAUUGUAUUUAUAUAUAGACUCUAUACUCUACUUCUAAUAUUCCUUAUUUUUAAUUCCAAAUUUCUAUUAUUUACUAAUUGUAUUUCUAUAUAGACUAUACUCUACUUCUAAUAUUUCUUAUUUUUAAUUCUGAAUUUCAGUUAUUUCCUAAUUGUAUUUCUAUAUGGACUCUAUACUCUACUUCUAAUAUUCCUUAUUUUUAAUUCUGAAUUGCUGCUAUUCCCUAAUUGUAUUUCUAUAUGUACUCUAUACUCUAGUUCUAAUAUUCUUAUUUUUAAUUCCGAAUUUCAGUUAUUUUCUAAUUGUAUUUCUAUAUGGACUCUAGUCUCCUCUUCUAAUAUUCCUUAUUUUUUAAUUCCGAAUUUCAACUAUUUUUAAAUUGUAUUUCUAUAUGGACUCUGCCUUUUCUUUUUCUCCGAUUAAUGUGAGAAUUUCUAGGCCAUGAAAGCGAACGUGGAGACUUCCUUUUCUAUUCCUUUAAUAAUAUAAUAGAAGAUAUAAGUAACAAAAAAAAUACAAUUUGACAUGAAUUAUAUCAAAACAAUUAGUAUUUGUGAUCAAACGGGCAUGCAUGUGGGGUCAGCCCACCCUAGCCCAUGGCUUGAUGGGUACAUCCUGAUUAUUAUGCACUGCUCGACAAGGAUAUGCCGUGGCGGCUCACGUGGUAAGGCCAGAACCAAGAUAUGGCCGAAGAGGAGCCAGGACGUGCACGUGUGACCCAUGAAAUAUUUUUUUCAUGAAAUUGCACGUUAGUAUAUUAGAAAAAAAAUAGAGUUUUAGUUAUACAGCGUAAUCGACCAAACUGGUCGCUGUCGGUUACAAGGAAAAAGAUUGCGGAAGGGAAAAGAGUCAAAACUAGAAGUUGUUGCUCGUAUCUAGCGGCACUACUACGAAAACCAUCUUUCGUUGCGGCCAUUUUGGGUUUUCGCUGGUGGUUUUUGGUACCGUCACAAAGCAAAGGCCAGUGAAGAUCAAGAUCUUCGCUAGCGGUUAUCGGCCGCCAGUGAUAAUUGAUUUUUGCUGGCGGUUGUGUUAUACUGGCCGCCAGCGAUAAACGAUUUUCGCUGGCGGUUGAGUUAUACCAACCGCCUGUGAAAAUAGUGGCCCAGGUUAAAAAAAAAUGACAAAGCAACACUGCUCCGUUCGCCUCCGUCAACACCGGUUCAAAUUAUUCCCAAAUCCACUCCUCGAUUCACAAAUUCACAUAAAUUUACACGAACAAUUUAUAAUAAAAAAUUUCCAUUCACAGUCAAAAUUUUCCAUUCACAAUCCACAGAAAUCCACAAAAAUGCACACAAAUCCACACAAAUCUACAGAAAUCUGAGCACCACCGCCCGUGACCUGGCGGCGUCGGCUUCACGCUCCCCACGGCGCAGCGUCGAUCGUGACGAGGUCAAGGCCGACGGUCGUGCUCCACCGCCCGAGGCCCCGCGGCCGUGCGCCCCGCGCCGCCGCCGGGGCGGAUCUGUCCUUCCCGGCGGCAGCCUCCUCCCCUCGGACAGAUCUAGGAGAGGGUAGAGGAGGGGAUGGGAGGGCGCGGCGCCACCGCUUCCUUCGUGGUCAUCAUCGUCACCGCUUCCGUCGUAGUCGCUGUUGUCGCCGUGCACAUCCGCGCCGCGCCCCUCCCGCCCGUCGUCGGCGCCGCGCCCCUCCCAGAUCUCGGUCGUCGACAAGAGGUGGAAGCUGGAGGAGCAGGGAAGGAGGAGGGGAGAGAGGUGGGGGAGGAGGAGGAGAGGGAGGUGGAUGGGUGGGUGGAGAGGAGGAGAUAGAGGAGAGAGAGGCAGUGGGUGGGUGAAAGGAAAAUAUCUCAGCACGCGCGUGAUUUUAAAUGAUGCCAAAUUUUUUUAGCGGGCUCUGUUUUUUCGCUAGCGGAAGUGUUUAGUAACCACUAGCGAAAACCGACGCGAAAACGUCGGUUUUCGCUGGCGGACAUUUAAGAGAUCCACCACGAAAAAUAGAGUAUGUUUUAUGGCGGACGUCUUAACGUGGCCACCAGAGAAAAUCGGUUUUCGCUGGCAGUCCUAUACCCCCCACCCCUCAUGUUUUUGCUGGCGAUUUUAGCAUAUAACCGCCAGUGAAAAUUAUAGUGUGACGCCAUGAAAAAUUGUUUUUCUAGUAGUGCGGGAGGGGGUGGCGGAGGAGCCUCCUAAUCUCCCAAAAGGCUCCCAAACGAGACAGGACCAGCGAGAGACCAGAGACGAACCUCCUAGUGAAUGUAUUGGAAAACCAUCGAGACCGGCGAAAGAGAAAGAAUCGAAAACCCUAGCGUUCCGCUCUUUCCAAAGCUGUAGGAAACCAAGAGGACCAGAGAGUCGAAGGCCUUACGAAGAUGCUAAGGCAGGCAAGCCCUAUCUACCGGCCACCAGACCUGAAGAGAAUCGCUACGGAGGGGCCGAGCAAGCCUAGGCAAGCCAAAGGGAGACCGGAUGUAGUGCCAAACUUAACGAGCGAACACACAGUCGAGCAUGAUGUGGCUCGCUAUUUCAUGCUUCUGAGCGCAAAAUGGGCAGGUCGAGCGUCUGUCAAUGCCGUGCUUAUGCAGAUGAUCUGCCGCCUAGCAACGCUGUUGGAACACGUGACCCAUGACAUUUGAAAUCGAAGUUGGGAAAACCAAAAAUAGGAAGAAUAAGAAGAAUAGGAACAGGAAAAAAAAGAAAGAAAAUAAAAGAUGGCAAGGAAAAAUAAGGAAGAAAUAGGAAGAACAUGAGAAAAAUUAGGAUAAUCAUUGUGAAAAAAAUAGAUGGCCAACGGAUUAGGAUCCGCUGACAUGAAGUCAGAGGGACGUGGUGACUGAUAUGUGGGCCCAACCGCUCGCGAGCCCACCUGUCAGUGACCACGUCAAGGGAGAUUUCACGUCAGAGGAUCUUCUUCUGUGGCCGACCGGGCGGAGCUUGUUCUUGGUCCUUGCUGUGCCAGGUCUGGCCAUGCACGACAUGGCCAAAUGGGACGUGUGGAAGAAAUAUGUGCAUGCACAUGAUGAAACAUGAAUGUGUGGAAUAAAUACUAUGUCGUUUUGACUGUUUGUUGACUUUUGGACGAGCUUUUCGGCACCUAUAUGAAGUUAUGAACAAUGAAACAUGCAGAUCUAUAGAGAUACUAGUGCAUAGCGUUUAUUGGAUGGUAAUUCGUUGUCCUAAAAAUAAAAUGGAACUAUACCAGUCCAGGCGACCAAACAACAGUUUUUUUACAAGUGUUUCUGGGCAGUCGUUCGGCAGUGUGACAACAAUGACGAAGAGUUGACAGUCGGCAAUGUGGCAAUUAACGAGCAACAAUCUGAGGCACUCCCUCCAUCCUAAAGAAAAUCAAAUCAUACUAAAGGGGCCGAAUGGCCUGGGCCGCCUAUUUGCCAAUCAAAGUACACCCAAGGUCCCUCAACUUGUCAUCGAGUUACAAAAUCAUCCCCCAAUCGCAAAACCAAAUAUAUGACAUCCCUCAACUUAUAAAAACCAUUCACUUUAGGUCAUUCGGUGGUUUUGACCCUGGUUUUAUCCUACAUGAGCAGAGUCAGUGUGGGACCCACAUGAGCCCACAUGUCAGGAUGCCACGUCCGCACCCUCUCUCUUCCCCCUCCUCUCCCUUCCUCCUCUCUCUCUCUCUCUUACUCUUCUCUUCUCUUCUCUGGGCAAACCGGCCAGUGGCUGAGGAGGAGGCCGCCAGGGCGAGGCGCAAGAGGAGGAGGCGACGGCGGCUGCGACGCGGGAGAAGGUGAGGGUGGCGGACGGUCGCGAAUGGCAUUGACGGCGCUGCGUCGCCUCCGCCCCGUGCGGGCAGGCGCCGCGGCAUUGGGCACAGAGGCGGAGACAGGGCCGGGUGCCGUGGAGGUGGACUCGGCGGACUUGGAGCCCCGGCCUGCUCUUGCGCCGCAUCCUCCCUCUCUCCGUGUGCUGGUUGUCCCUCCCUACCUCCUCCCUAUUCGCGUGCGCUCGCCGCCGGCCGGCGGGCAUGGGAGCAAGCGAGCCGUCCGUGGCGUCGGCAGCAAUGGUGGUGCGAUGCAUGAGGAUGGGGAGGACCAGCGUCAUCGUCACGUCACGUCCUCGUCGGCGCGAAGAUGAAGGAGACGGGGAAGAGGAAGAGGUGGUGCGCGUCCUCCUCCUUCUCGUCGAACUCGUCGCAAUCGUCGUUGUCAUUCGCCGAUACCCCGCUCCGCGCUGGCGGCUUCGCACGUUGCCACUCUGCCCACCGUCGCCCCACUUCGCCUGCUUGCUCUACCCGCCGGCUUCAUGCGGCGCCGCUCCGCCUAUUCUGCUCCCCUCUGGUCGGCUGCUCCCAUGGGAGAGAGCGGACAGAUACAGAGAAGAGAGGGGAUGAGAGAGGAGAGGAUAGAGGAAGAGAGGUUGAAAGGGGAGGGGAAGAAGAGGCUGACGUGUGGCGGUGUGGGACCCACGUGGGUAGAAGAAAAUCGAUUGGGAUUGAGACAGAGAGGGGGGGGGACCUGGAGAGACGCGCGUGGUAAAGGAAUAGGUUGGUUGUAUGUACAGAAAGUGGUUGGCAUGCUAGCUGUACGGUGGAAGCAAACCAUUAUGGCUUGCCAUUGACUUCUUUUUAAUUUCCUUGAGAAAUAGACAAAAAUUUAACCAGAUCCUCCUCAGCACCGUAGAGGGAAGGUCUCCUCGCCACCUUGCUAAUGGGCUCGUGGAUCUGGGCCGACGAUGGCCGGAUCCGUCAUCCUGCCUCGUCACAUGGUGUCAUCAGGGAUGAUGGAGACGGCGGCGGUGGAGCGAAGCAGUCGUCAAUGCUAGCUACGAAGAGGUCCAUCAUAGAUACCGGCUACGAGGUGGAGAUAAAAUCAGAAAAAAAAAAGAUGAACGGAUUGUGGAUAGCGCAUUACCUGGUCGUCGUAGGGAGAGAACCACCGGUAGCAACUGCGGCGGUGCUGGCGAUCACCGAUUAGCCAGUCGCGACACAAGGAAGAGGGGCUUGCUGUGGCAAGAGAAAAGCCGAUCCAGAUAUUUAGGAGAAGACGAUAACUAUGCGUGAUCACUGUUAUGUGGCGGUUUUGCAAUGACUACUUCCUGAAGAUUCGCUUCUCUACGUUCUGUAACAAUUUAAUGCGCAUAGAGUAAAAAAAUAACUCAAGAUGCUGACAUCGUUAGAGUACAACAAGAAACUAUCUCACUGUUAGUAAAAAAAAUUAUUUGGACUAUAGGAGUGGGGGCAGGGGGCGCAGGGGUGGGAUCGAGAUUGGUCGUUAGUGAGUAAAAUUUUAACUGCAUGCUAUAAACUUGGUGGGGGACAGGGUUGGGAGCGGCAGUGGUGGGGGGUUGAGCAGUGGGUGGGGCUGGGGGCUGUAUCACGUGCCAUUUAAUACGUAGCACCUUAAGGUGCCACAUAGUAGUUCUAUACACACACGCACACAUACACACAAAUUUUUACGUGGAAAAUCCUUACGGGAAAAAACCACGGACACCGACUAGCAAUGAUCGAUAUAGAGAAGUUGAAUACAAACGCACGACACACUGGGUUGUCGCACCCUUCUCGUGUAGCUUACAAGAGACAUGUAAAAGAGAAAUCUAUAAGUCCUAGUAGGAAAAGACUUACAAUCAUAAUAAGAAACUAAUCAAGUGUUUUAUUAUAAAACUAAUCCGAACAUAUUGCAUGCUAUUUUUUUUUUUGAAAGGAAAGCGGCAAGAGUAUUGCCGAAUAUAUUAGAAGGAGAGAAAAGUAUGGUUUACACGAUUAAUGCGGAAAAACAACUUAGAAUCAUCUCAGAACCAUAGAUCCUGGUUUGAGAAGGGAAGAGAUACACUCAUGACGGUUGGAAUUCAAAACUGCUUUCUUGAAUAUCUUGGAUGAUCUGGUGUGAAGUCCUUUGCAUGUCCGGUUCUUCUCCUCUGAAGAUCUUUGCGUUCCUUUGUAGCCAAAUGUACCACCAAGUUUUGACAAUCUGAACAUAUUGCAUGCUGAAAUUUGGAUCACAUAUUUAACAAUCUCCAUCUUAAGACGAAUUUUCCUUGUAGCAUAAAAAUCCGAAACGCUCCUGUCCAGACGCCUGAUUGUAGGGAAAACAAUCGGAUUCUCAUGCGUCUCUCCUCAAACCGUGUGAUGUUAUAAUGGAUUUUUUUACUGUUCCAAUGGGUAUUUAAUGAUGUUUCACUAGGUCAUUUUGAAAUGUUACACGGGAUGUUUUUUUGAUGUUUAAGGAGGUAUUUUGUGAUGUCCUCGGCUGAUGUUUCACUGUAUCAUUUUUUAAUGUUGCACGUGGUGUUCUUUGAAUGUUUCAGGAGGUAUUUUGUGAUGUUUCAGCUAAUGUUUCACUAGGUCAUUUUGAAGUGUUGCACACAUGGUAUUAUUUUGAUGUUUUUCUAGGUAUUUUGUGAUGUUUCACUAUGUCAUUUGGAAUGUUGCAUGUCGUGUUCUUUGGAUGUUUCAGAAGGCAUUUUGUGAUGUUUUAGAACGUAUUUCACUAGCUCAUUCGGAAUGUUGCACGUGAUGUUAUUUGAAUGUGUUAGAAGGUUUUUUGUGAUGUUUCACAAGAUACUUCACUAGCUUAUUCGGAAUGUUGUACAUGGUGUUCUUUGGAUGUUUCAGCAUGUAUUUUGUGAUGUUUCACUGGGUAUUUUACUAGCUCAUUUGAAAUUUUACACGUGGUAUUUUUUGGACAUUUCAGCAGAUGUUUCACUAGAUCAUUUAGGAUCUUGCACGUAUUGUUCUUUCAAUAUUUCAAUGUAUAUUUUGUAUUGUUUUAGAGGUCACAAAUCAAUGUCCCACUUAUAAUAAAAAUGUUUCAAUUAGUAAUAUAAUUACAUAUGUUUUAUUUCUCCAAAAUAUAAUCAUGUGAGAUCUCUUUGUAAAGAUUUAAUUGCAACAAAUUCAACGGUGCAAUUGAAUCACAAAUUGGAUAAGUAUUUCAUAAGAAAAAAUGGUUUAUAAUUUGCUAAUUAAGAGUAUGGGAGAAGAGACAAGGGGAUGGGAGAAGUUUGCAUGUACCUCACAUGUGGAAGAGAAGAAAUGACUGCGUGCAUGCAUGUGGAGGUUUCCCAGAAGAAAAGAUUGCAUGCAUGCUUAGGGGGCCCAAUUUUUUUCUCCAAAAAUCGGGCACCCGUUCCGUAGUGUCCUCCAUAAAAAUCUUCAAUCUCCAAACAACAUCAUGUAGUACCCUCGAUAGAAAAGAGAUGAACCAUACUUCAAACUUACCAUUGGUGUGAACUUAGCAUAGACACGAAACAUGAUGCACAAACUUCAAACUCGCUAUUGGAAUAAAAUCCUGAAUAUGCUGCCAUAAAUUUAUGUAACCCUAGUAGAAAUGCAAAACUCUAGUGCACAAGACAAAGUACUUGGAUCUCCCAAUAACCUACUGGUAUGUUGGGUAUGAUGGUAGCAAAAUUUGUCAGAAAAUUGGAUCACCUUGUGAUCUAGACAGGAGUGAGGCUCCCUCUCGUCGACUCAAAUAUUCUUCUUCUUUUUUCUGUGCUUUUCCUCUUAGGUAAAUACCCCACUUCAAAUAUUUACUUAUCAUAAUGAGAAUAUGUACUCAAUCUAGACGUGGUAGAUUAUCUUCAAACUCGUCAUAAGAAUUAAUCCUAAAUCUGCUCGCAGUACUACAUGAAUGCUCAUUGGUGCCGGUUCUUGAACCAACACACCUUCGUUUUUUAUUUUUCAGGUGCUAAAAAGUCAAAAAAAAUAUUUGGUAUUUUUAUUAGGCACCUAUACAAUCACACUCUCGUUCCCAAAAGUCACAUAAUUUUUGAAUCCAUAUUCAUACAAAUGUGUCAAGAAAAAUUCAAAUUCAAGACAUCUCACUUCACACAAAGUCACCUUGCCAUAUCACCUACAAACACUUCUUGUCUUGGAAACAAAUGCUAUUGUUUUGAGACCACUAUCAUUUGAACUUAUAAUCCAUAUUUAACACCAUAGAUAAGAUAAAAUGAAAAGUGUAGAAAAAUGUAGAUCUUAUCUAUAUCUACAACUUUUAUAUAGGUUUUGUGUCUAGCUGAUAUCGUUUAGAAAUUUUAAAUAUCCACUCAUGCAAAUAGGUUUGAGACAUUGUAACACAUUUUCGGACAUUCAAACAAACUUAAAUCGAAAAGUCAUCAACUACGAAGUUGUAGAUAUCGUCGAGCUCUACAAAUUUGAUAUAAACUUUAUCUUCAUCCGACUUUAUAUGAAAAAGAUAGAUAAAAAAAUACACAUAUAUAUGAGUUGUGUCAUCAUAGGUGCUGGUUUUAAUUGUAAACCAGCCGGCACAUAUGCGAUACACAUAUGUGCCGGUUCAUAAAAACCGUUACAUAUGAUACUGCCGUAGUUAUAGGUGCGAGUUUAUUAUAAGAACCAAUAUCUAUGUGAUGUUCAUAGGUAUCGGUUUAUUAUGAGAACCAGCAUAUAUGAUUUUUGAGGAAUAUUGGUACCGGAUUUUAUUAUAAACAUGUACCAACUAACUCAGUCAAUGAGUUGUUAUAGGUACCGGUUCUUAAUUUUACACUGAAAUAUGAUGGAAAAAAUGUUAUAGGUGUCGGUUUAAAGCAAAUCGGCAUGUAUAAGGUUAAGGUUGGUCUCUAUGGGGGUGUUUUGGAGUAGCUGUGUGGUAUAAAUUUGCUUGAACCAAAGCAGAAACACGAUAUACUCUGGGUGCAAUUCCUGUGUGCACAAAGCGUUGAUCAAGGAGUCUCCUGGUACAUAAGCUUGGGUGGACUUAGCAGUUUCAACGUGAAAUUGAAUUGGCAUGAUCAGUCAGAGCCGAUGCUUUACUCUGCACGUGCUGCUCGUCGCGAUUGCUGCUCGUCAAAUCGGAGUCGAUCAGUCGACUCCUUGUCGGCGUUUGAUGCGAAGCCAAAUCUCGCUAAACAAUUGACGACGAUGAUGAAGACGGCCGGCGGCCCGGAUGGGCCUAUUUGGUAUGGGAUUGGUCCAAAUCUAAAAUUUAGUUCUAGAGUUAUGUUUGGAUAAAGCCGUAGAGCAAUUUAAAUCCAACUCUAUCUUUCUUUCUAGUUUAUUUUGUGAAAUUAUUUUACUCAGUUUCGUUUUUAUUUUAGGUGGAGGUGAAACUGUUUAGUUAGGCUCUAACUCUAGUAGAGGUGGAGCUGAAAUUGUGCCAAAUAGACCCUUAGUAUAUCCAUCUCUAAAGUUCUAAUACCAUUUAUUAUAAAAAUAGAUGCACGACUAAUAUAUGACUUUUAUGUGAAAAACUCUUACCAGAAAAGCCUACAUGCAUAGAUCGGCAAUGAUUAAUAUAGAGGAGUUGGGUACAAACGUAUAGAAUACAUUGGGUUGUCGCAUACUUCUUGUGAGGUUUACAAGAGAUAUAUAAAGAAAAAUUCUAAGAGUCUUAGUAGAAGAAGAUUUAGAGACAUAUUAGAAAAUUAACCCUGAUAGUCAAGUUUUAUAUAUUAGAAAACUAAUCCAAAUAUGUUUCAUGCCAAAAUUUGUAGUAGAAGUAUCAUAUAUGUAACAUAUUUAACUAUACCUGCGGUAUAGCACUAUAGAACGUGUCUUUGCCAGGACACUUCGAUUACUUGGUAAUUUGCCAAAACAUUCCAUGAUCAUUAUUUCAACAUUUUACUCAUUUGGGCAGAUAAAAUUUUAAAAAGGUGCUUUUACGCCCUUUCGCAAAUUGAAAAUUUUGGAAUUUCAGCGCCUCACUUCCUAAAAGGACAUCUUUAAUUAGAAAAAAAAAUUUAAAUCUGAAAAAAAUCAAAAUAUAUUUUUAACUUUUUAAGUAUUUUAGUUUUCCAUGGACCCCGUAAACAUUUUCUUUAUUUUUGCAAUUUGGAUGUUUUUUAAUUUAAAAAAUGUUUAAGUUUACCAAAAAAUUAUUCAAAUUUCAAUUCUUUGUCCGAUAUUUUUUAGAAAAAUUCUAUCAAUCACCUCCAAAAUGUUUGGAGAUUUUCUGCAAUUUAGUAAAAGAUAAAACCAGGCUGAACAUCCAACUUGGCAUGAGGUAAUUUAAAACGUCAUCUCUGUAAUUGUAUCUAUCUAGUAGUUGAGCUGAAAAAUGUUAAAAUAUUAAAAUUAUGGUCAUUUUAGAAAACUACCAUGAAAGUGUCUCGUAGAAAAUACAUUAUUGUAUAAAAAUAACAAAUACAUACAUAUCUAAUAAUAUUUCGUCGAGCAUGUUAUGCCUUUUCGUACGAAAUAGUAUAUGUGCCAUGGAAAAACACGUGAGCAUUUGAGUACUUCAGACUUUCACUCGAAGAGAAAAUGUAUCAAAUGUUAAUUAAUUGUAUAUGUACGUACAUCCUAAUUUAAAAAAGUACAUGUCCUAUAUUGUAUAUUCAAGGUUUCAUUUUAUAAGAAGCAAAGGCUCUAAGAAUCUCCCACGAAUAAAAAAGAAGGCGCUAAGAAUCAAAUUUGGACGGCCAUAUAGUUAAUUAAUUAGCUUGCAGUUUGCCACAACCAGUAUAUAUAAGAAUUUAGGUGUUGUACAUACGUACCUUGAUGAUGUAGAUUUGCACCGAACUGAAAAUGACGUUAGUACGCAUGCAUUUUCUCCUAGAGUGUACCGGCUGGGCGGCUGGCAUUUAUAUAUACUAUGUAAAACUCCGCGUGUUGCUACUGAGUUAGCAUAAUAACAAGUGAAAACAAUGUGUAAGAUAGCUAGCUAGACAAUACAAGCUUACAUAAAUUGAUGCAUGUGAUUUAUGAUAAAUUAAAAUUAAAUAGUGUAUAGAAUGAUGAUUUAAAUGAUAAAUUAAAUUUAAAUAGUGUAUAGAAUGAUGAUUUAAAUGUAAAAGUAAAGGUGAUAUGGCUUUAUGAGAGAAGAAAAGGAGAGAGAUAUUUUGGACCAUAGAUUAUCUAAGACUAAAAAUAAUUGAUGUGAUAUGGCUUAAUGAGAGAAGAGAGAAAUAACAUUAACUAAGUGAGAAUGAACUAUAUAUAGAAUAUUAUAAAAAAGGAUGAAGAGAUAAAUUGAAAUAAUAUUUGAAUUAUGUGGGAUGAUGAUUUAACAUGCUUACAUUUUAAAAACUCUAAAAUUCAAUAAAUCAUAAAAUUACAAAUAAUAUAGCAUGCUUCAUAAUGUUUAAAUGUAAUAAUUAUUAUUGAAUGAUGAUGUAGCAUAUUGUUAGAGGAUGAUGAUGUUGCAUCUUUUUAUUUCAACUACUCCCACAUUCCUUUAUAUAUAUUGUAAAAUUAACUGGGGCACUAUGGUGUCCAGGCACCAAGAUUUAAAUUGAGUACAUAUAUUCAAUUUAAAUGAGUAUGAAUUUUUUUAAAAAAAUGUUUAGAUAUGAUGGUUGUAAGGUGGUUUUCAGUCGGUUCAUCUGUAACCGUGAUCACCAUCUAAUAGGGCGCUGCCAUGUGCAAAGGGAAAGCUGGGGGACGGUAAGUCUGGUUCGGCUCCCACCGCCUCUAGCCAUCGACUUCAUCCAGUGAAUGACAGGUAGGCCUCUAUGGUGACUGAGGUUGGUUUGGCCCUACUUUAGAUCGGUUUCAACUGUCAUGUGAGCCCUCCAAUCUUUUUACUCACGUAUGAUUGACCGGAGGUUCAUUUUAUGGCAUGACAUAUGUAUUUUUAUUCAUAAAUGACCUGCAUAAAUAUAUUUAUCAAAACUAGUGAAAAUGGUUAGCAAUAAACUCCUACCAUCAAGUUUUGAUAUAAUAUUUUAUAUUCUUUAUACAGGAGUUGACGGUUAAAGUUUACACUUAAUGACCGUCAACAAUAAGCGAUACCGUGGCAGUUUCGCGUAGCCGCGUGCUAACCUCGGUAUACCGGUAUUGCACUCCUACCCCGCGAUACCGAUGGAAUAUUUCUUCCAAACAAAUUUCAACCGGUAUAUUUCUUUCAAAAAAAAUCAAUAUCAGUAUUCAUGCAAUUUUUGUUCAAAGCACUACUUUCGCUACAGUACAAUCUCUAAGGAACAGCCCCUACAUCAAGUGCCACUGUACUAUUGUCGUAUACUAUUUCUUUCUUUUCCACCGUUGACGUUUUAGAACGGAGGGAGUAUGUAUAUAUCGUCUGUACAUUAGAUUUGCUAUUUUGGUACUUUCAGUGUCCUUUUUCUGAGUACUAGCUGAAUAAUUUUGUGUUCGCUAUUGGAGGGUACACUAAGUUGAAAAAAGAAUUUAAAAUAGUUUUGUAAGAUGAUUUAAAAUAUAAGUAUUUAUAUGAUUAUUAACAAAACUAAGGCAGAGUGAAAAAAAUAUCUUUUAGUGGUUAAAUUUUAAAUUGUUUAUAUAUCCCUUUCAAGCAUCGGAUGAAAAUGUACAGAACGAUUUUUGUGCACUGGACUGAGUGUCCCAUAAAUACUUAUAUUGUGGCAUAAAUUUUUGAAUACUCAAAAUAUUUUGAAACAAAAGAAGUAUAUGGAAAGUGUGUACCAUUAAUCCAAUCUUUCAUAUGACUGUCAACGCCGUAAAUAUAUCUGUAAUAUUACUCUCAGUACAGUUAAUUAGCAUAUGGCCCUGAAAUUUUUCGGCCGAACCCGGCAAUUUUAUAUUUAUAUAUACCCUUGCCUUGAGCUUAGGCAUCAUGUAGCCUCGCCGCUCAAGCAUCGCUAACUCAGUUAUAGCUGUCUAACAAAGCAAAUUAGCUUUCGCUGAGCUUUGUGUUGCUUUUGGUCUCCUAGAUAGGUUUGUGAAGCAUGAAGCUCACGGUAGCAAUUGUCUGUGCCAUGGCGACCGCGCUUCUCGCCGCCGCCCCGUCGUCGGCGGAGGCCGGCGACGGCGAGCUGAAGGUGGGCUACUACGACAACAAAUGCAGCGGCGUCGAGGACAUCGUCAGGUCGCACGUCAUCAAGGCUAUCAUACAGGACCGCGGCAUAGGCGGCUCCCUCAUCCGUCUCAUCUUCCAUGAUUGUUUUGUCAGGGUAUAUUUUGUUUCUUCCUCCGUUUAAUAAUGUAAGUCAUUCUAUCAUUUCUCACAUUCAUAUUAAUGUUAAUGAAUCUAGAUAUAUACAUUUCCUAUCUAGAUUCAUUAACAUCAAUAUGAAUAUGGGAAAUGAUAGAAUGACUUACAUUGUGUAACGGAGUGAGUACAUAUCGGUACUUCAUCUAUUUCAUAUUAUAAAUUGUUUCGGGUUUUAAAUGGAUUUAUGAGUGAAUUCAUUUAUAUUACCUCUAUUUCUCAUUAUAAGUCAUUCUAUUUUUUUUCCUAGUCAAACUUUCAAUUUAUAGAAAAAUAUAGUAACUUUUUCAGCACAAAGAAAAUAUUAUAUUAUCAAAAUGUAUUAAAUGUUAAUCUUAAUGAUAUUAAUUUGGUGUUGUAAAUGUUGCUAAAAUUUUUCAUAAACUUAAUCAAACUUAAAAAGGUUUGAAAAAAAAUUAAAAUGAGUUAUAAUACUCUCUCCAUCAUAUUCCAAAUCUAAAAAAUUUACUUUUGAUAGGCAUAUUUCAAUCCAACCACCUAUUUUUUUAAUGACUUUCUUGGAUUUCAUGGGGGUGGCUAAUUGGCGCGCGCCCGCCUGUUGGCCCCGGCCCGGAAGCCCAUCAGGCUUCUUUUUUUCUUUUUUUUCGCAAGAUUUUUUUGCGAUUUUUUUGCCUUUUUCUUUUAUCUUUUUUUCGCUUUUGUCUUAUUACUUUUUUAAUCUUUAGCACACAUAUUUUUUCAAAAAAUGUUUUGAGUUGAAAAUUUUUAAAUCUUUAACUUGAAAAUUUUAAAUUUUGAUUUGAAAGUUAUCAAAUCUUAAGUUGAAAGUUUUCGAAUAUGAGUUGAAAGUUUUUAAUCUCAAGUUGAAAACUUUUAAAUCUGAGUUGAAAGUUUUCAAAUCAGAGUUGAAAGUUUUCAAGUCGAAGUUGAAAGUUUUCAAAUCUGGGUUGAAAAUUUUUCAAAUUUAAGAUGAAAAGUUGAAAGUUCCAAAAUUUGACUUUAAAAAAUUUAAAUUUUGAGUUAAAAGUUUUUAAAUCUGGGUUGAAAAUUUUCAAAUCUAGAUUGAAAGUUUCAAAUUUUGAGUGGAAAGUUUUUAAAUUUGAGAUGAAAGUUUUCAAAUAUGGAUUGAAAACGUUUCAAAUUUGAAUUGAAAGUAUUCAAAUAUCAGUUAAAAGUUUAAAAUUUUGAGUUCAAAGUAAUAACACAAAAAUAGAAAAUAACUAAAAAAACAAAACGUGAAAAAAAAGGGAAAAAGAUGUGGGCCUAACAGAAAAAACACAAACGACGAGUCCUUUCUCAAUAAAAAAAGUGCGCGCUAUUUGCUUAACUCGCGCAGCUUUUCCGGAAUUUAAUGCGUGACUCUCCAUUCUUCCACGCAAUAUUGGCUAUAUAGGCAUCGAGAAAUGUAAAUAUAUUAAUAAAUCGCUUGUUUACGAGAAAUAACUAGUAGCAUAUUUAAAUGGAUGAUAAGUAAAAUUACUUAUCUUUGAUCGGUGUAUUAAGAUAAAAUAUAACUAUAAAAAGUAAUGAAGGGAGUACGAAACAGAGGACCAAAACAACUUAUAUAGUGAAAAGGAGUAGUAGUUUUGAAGCACUAAGGAGGUACUAGUAGCUUUGAAGCACUUGGGACUAAUGAGUGGUUGCACAAUGCAUGCAUGCAUGCAUGAGUAUUGCAGGGUUGCGAUGGUUCCGUCCUCCUUAACGCGUCCGACGAGAACCCUCGUCCUGAGACGGCAGCGCCGGUGAGCAUCGGGCUGGAAGGAUUCGACAUCCUGGAGGAGAUCAAGGCCGAUCUCGAGAGGAGGUGCCCCGGCGUGGUCUCCUGCGCCGACAUCCUCAUCUUCGCCGCCCGCGACGCCAGCAGCAUCCUCAGCAACGGCCGCGUCCGCUUCGACGUCCCCGCGGGCCGCCUCGACGGCGUCGUCUCCUCCGCCUACGAGGCCCAGGCGGAGCUCCCGGAUCCCACCUUCACCAUCCGGCAGCUCAUCGACAACUUCGCCCGCAAGAACUUCACCGUCGAGGAGCUCGUCGUCCUCUCCGGCGCGCACUCCGUCGGCGACGGCCACUGCUCCUCCUUCACCGCCCGCCUCGCCGCGCCGCCCGACCAGAUCACCCCGUCCUACCGCAACCUGCUCAACUACAGGUGCUCCCGCGGCGGCGGCGCCGACCCUGCGGUGGUGAACAACGCCCGCGACGAGGACCUCGCCACCGUGGCGAGGUUCAUGCCGGCGUUCGUCGGCAAGCUGCGGCCGGUCAGCGCCCUGGACAACACCUACUACCGCAACAACCUCGACAAGGUGGUCAACUUCAACUCGGACUGGCAGCUGCUGACGCAGGACGAGGCGCGCGGCCACGUCCGCGAGUACGCCGACAACGCCGCCCUCUGGGACCACGACUUCGCCGCCUCGCUGCUCAAGCUCAGCAAGCUGCCCAUGCCGGUGGGGAGCAAGGGGGAGAUCAGGAACAAGUGCGGCGCCAUCAACCACAGCAAGAGCUAAUUCGGCCACUUAUGCAGGGGGUUACGUACAUGCAUGCAGACGAUGUGGUCGUAGCCAUAUGUUUUCUUGUUAUAUCUCAUCGUUCUAAAAUACAGAAAACCUUGUACUCGAAAAAAAAAGACUACUCCAGUAUAAUAUAAAGUAUUUGUAUUUGUGGUUACCCAUAUAUUUACCUGUUAUGAAUUGUUACUACCUUCGUCCCUGAUUUUGCAUCUGUUAGUGCAUAGACUAAAUCCCAUACAUAUUUAGUACUCGUGGAUUGUCAUGUAACUGGGCUGAAUCGGUAUACAUAUUGAGCCCAUGGCUAGCUAGGCUCAAUCCGCUGCGAUAAGCCAAUCAUUCAAGCCGUUACAAAAGGAGCAGAUCCAACAGAUGGGAGGAUCGAACAAAAUAGAUGAAACCUGAGUUCUUCCUUCCGAUGCUCUCUCUUCUUCAACCUCUGUAUCUCUCUUCUCUUCAAUCCCUGGCUAUCUCUUCUUCUCCAAUCUACUGCUAAUUCUCAGUCUUGAUUCCAUUUCUCCCAUUUGUAUCCCCAAAUACUCGUGUAUCAAGUGUUGGAGGAAGAAUUGUGUGCUUGUGCUGGAAUUCACUAAAUCACAUAGAGUGGGUUCGUAACAAUAUGGUAUUAAAGCCAACAAUCCAUGGGUUCCAAGCCAGGAGAUGAGAUGGAUGACAUACGUGGCAGCCGCGACUUCCAUAGACUGGAUCUAAGAAUUUGGGGUGGUUGCACUUGAGGCGUCUAAGAACACACAUGAACAUCUAAGAACACAAGAACACAACAUGAAUAUCUAAGAACACACAUGAACAUCAAGAACACAAGAUGAACACACAUAAACAAACCAGCAUCUAUAGUAUAGUUGUCGGACUUUUUUCAAAAUCGGCACUUAUAAAUACUUAAAGGUGCCAAUUUUUCCCUUUAGCGCCCCCCGCGGGCGCUCCGGUGGGUGGGAAAAGCAUAAUAGGUGCCGGUUUUAGUUAUUCCGGCACCUAUAAUACUGACUUUUAUGUGUCUUUUUGUAGUACUGAUUUGCAGUUGACAUGAUUAUCAUCGAACACUUAUGGGAGAAAAAAAUAAAUUUGUUCUAGCCAAAUCAAUAGAGAGUGCAGAUGAGAACUUUUGAAAAAUGGGGUCCAAAAACAUGUUGAAACACAUUUGUUUAGAUCCAUGCAUGUACAUGGAAAUUUUCGGGGUUGCUAGUCUAUUGGUCGCUCGCUUUGCACCUGCCAAUUGAUAGGCCCAGUAGUUGACGUGAUCUGACACACGGCUGGGAUGAACGUAGGUUAGCUGCUUCCCAACCAGUCAACAGGACCUCUUAAACAAAAGGGAAGUCAAAUAAGAAAAUGUUUAAUUAAUCUAGCCUGGUUCGGAUGCUAGAUAACAGUAAUGGAGUGAUUAAAUAUUGAUGAGACCACUAUAAUCUCGAUUAUAUUUGAGCUAGCGAACAUGCCUGCUAUAGUUCCCUCAAAAUCCUAAAGAUAUGUAUGGCGUUAGCGUCCUUUCCAGUGGAUACGCUUAACACAAGCUUUUGACGUGAAAGUUAAUUAAUUUACUACUGUACAUGGAAAGAAAUUCUACAAAUACAUCGCUCUUAGGUAACAGCAUUUGAAUUGAAAUAAAGAUACAUGUUGUCAAAUCGACCAAAUAAACUGACCUCCUUCAUAGGGGCGGAACUAGCCACCGGGCGGCUGCUUGGGCUCGUUAGCGAAAACUACACAAAAUUUUAAUAUUAAUGAGUAAAUAGAUGAUGAAAUUUCUAUAGCAAAUAUCAGUUAUAUUGAAAUUUGUCUGGGCUCAAAAAUCUUUCUAGCUCCGCCAUGCAUCCUUCCAUCAAAUACUGUGCUUCGGUUGACACAUGCAUGAUGCAUCUGGACGGCCAAUUAAUUUACUCUAUAUAGCUCCAGCCGAAUUUAAAUUAAGUUCACCGUCACAACGCCAGGUAUGGAUCGAUGUCAACGCCUACACGUUUUAUCAGUUACUAGCUGUUUUGCUCCCCAUGUUGUUAGACAACAAGAACUGGCAAAUAACUAUUCUGAUGAUUGCUCUCCAAAUAUUCCUCAAAUCUCUUAUUUAAUCAAUCUCCUCAUUCAAAAGGAGUAGCUCAAUUAUCAAUGAUCAAUUUGCACAUCCAUUUGUACCUAUAAAUACAUCGAAUGUUUGCCUGUCACAUCAUCAAACAUCAACCAAUCCUUUGAGGUAGCGAUCACUACACAUAUAUUCAUUCGGUUUCAGGCGUUUCUUUGCUGUCUCCUAGUGAACAACCUUGUCAGAAUUCAGAAUGUUCAGCAGGGGGAUGAAGCUAAUUCUCAUGGUAGCCUUCCAGGCUAUGAGCCUCAUCUCCAUAUCAACUGCAAGUCUGCAGUACAAUUUCUACGGCUCGUCGUGCCCAAAUGCCGAGCAGACGAUCAGCAAUGUCGUCUACGGCUUGAUCGAUGCUGACCCUUCCAUGGCCCCGGCGCUGCUGCGUUUGCAUUUCCAUGAUUGCUUUGUCAUGGUAAUGUAAUUGCUAACCACAAGUUAAUUUAGUUUUUCAACUAUGAAUUGAUAGCAGUUUUAAUUUCUCACAAGAUAUAUUACUGCAAGCAAAGCUUAGAUAUUGAUGGUUAAUUACUUCAUUUUGUCCCCAAAAAAAAUGUAAACGAAGUUUUUUUUUUUUUGUUUUUUGAUCAUGCAGGGUUGUGAUGCGUCCAUCCUUCUUGAUCCCACGAAGGCAAACGGCUCGCCGGAGAAGACAGCGAUCCCGCUCCGCGGGUACGACGCCGUGAACAAGAUCAAGGCGGCCGUCGAGGCCGUCUGCCCCGGCAAGGUCUCCUGCGCCGACAUCCUCGCCUUCGCCGCCCGCGACUCGGUGGCCAAGUCCGGCGGCUUCGUCUACCCGGUCCCCGCCGGCAGCCGCGACGGCAACGUGUCGUCCGCCUUCUCCGUCUUCUCCAGCAUCCCGUCGCCGUUCUUCGACGCCGGGGAGCUCGUCCAGAGCUUCGCCGCCAAGGGGCUCACCGUCGACGACCUGGUGGCGCUCUCGGGUGCGCACUCCAUCGGCACCGCGCACUGCUCCGGGUUCAAGAACCGGCUGUACCCGACGGUGGACGCGUCCCUGGACGCGAGCUACGCGGCGGCGCUGAGGGCGGCGUGCCCUGACGGCAGCGCCGCCGACGACGGCGUGGUGAACAACAGCCCCGUGUCGCCGGCGACGCUGGGCAACCAGUACUUCAAGAACGCGCUCGCCGGGCGGGUGCUGUUCACGUCGGACGCGGCGCUGCUGACCGGCCAGAACGACACGGCGGAGAAGGUCAGGGAGAACGCCGGCGACCUGACCGCGUGGAUGGCGCGGUUUGCGGCGUCGAUGGUGAAGAUGGGCGGCAUCGAGGUGCUCACCGGGGCGCGGGGGGAGGUCAGGAGGUUCUGCAACGUCACCAACAGCUAAAAAGCUAUACUGGCUGGCUCGAGUGAAGAACGCACUUGUGCCAUUGGUGUGCGUGCCGUUUUUGCUUAGUGGCAAGUUUGCACCUUGUGCUAAUUAAACGUUUUUGUUCUCCAAUCUACACCAUGCACACACACCAUUCAUGUUGCAAUUUUUUAUUGCCACCUUGUUCUAUAAGAGGAGGAAAAUUAACCACCUUAAUUUGUUAUUCACUCUGGUUAUAGUAUUUUGGUUGUAUGGCUCAUGUAAAAGAUUUGGGGCUUUUUUUUUUAGAAUUACACAGUGCAAUGUAGAUACUCACAACGCACACGCACUCACAUCUAUGAAUACACGCACGCAAACCCUACCCCUAUAAGCAUCUUCGAAAACUGGGCCGGCAAAUCCUUGAGAUUGACGAAGUCACCAUAGGCACCUCGUUGUCGACGGAUAUGUCGCCUACCACUAAAAGCACAACGCCGUUAUAUCUUAGAAAAUCCGCUCCCAUGGGGAGUCGAACCCAAGACCUCAGGUGCUACUGAGGCUCUUGUAACCACUAAGCGAAAACGCCGUUAUUAUUAUUAUUUUUGGAGAAUUUGUGAUUUGGAUCUGAGAUUUGUGUGUGAUGUGAAUAUGUGAUGCAUUUGUGAUGAAUUUUGUAGAAGUUGUGAUGUAAUUUUUUUUAAGAUUUUAUGAUGUAUUUGGAGAUGAUCGAUUUGAGGAUUUGGAGGCAAUUCGGGGAUGAUUGAUUUGGGAUUUUUGGGAUGGGAUGGAGUGAAAUCAAUAUAUUAAAAACAACAAUGAAGAAAAGAAAAGAAUAAAGGAGCAACUGAAUCUAACCUCUUUAGUCCCGGUUGGUAACACCAAUCGGGACUAAAGAUAGCCGGGACUAAAGAUAGCGAUCUUUAGUCCCGGAUUCGUAGUCCCGGUUAAAAAAUCAGGUCUACAAAAGGUUACGAAUCAGGACUAAAAAGCACUUCUCUACUAGUGUGCAAAUGUGUGAGCCCCCAUUGACCAAGUGUAGGAGCAAACCCUCUAAAAGUGUCCAGCCUCUCUGGCCUUGAUCAGUCAAUUGAUCGACAUCGGUUUGUCGUUUCGCAAAUGGUAGAAAUGAUGAUGGGUUUUUGAUACUGAAUUGAGUCUCUGAGCGAAUUCUGAUGAGUAGGAAAAGCAUCUUCAUAAUGAAGGUCCUAAAUCUCGUAUGUGAAUUCCUGUUGAUAAAGAAAAUGAUGGUUCACUUGGAACUAUACUUGUGCAAAAGAAUCCUAUUCUUUUUUUUUGGUGCCCUUAUGGUGUAUAUGUUGUGAUAGUAAACAAAGAAAGGAGGUGUUUUGUUUUCGGAAAUGGUGGAAAAGGAACUUUUGCUCAUCUCAAGUUCCCUUUCUAGCUGGCCAUUUUGCGGAGGGGGAAAAACCAACUUUCCCUGUAAAACAGUGUGCUUUGAUCCUUCUAUGUUAUUCGUUUUGUUCGUGAAAUUCUUUCGAGGUUGCUGACAUUUUUGUGUUUUCCACAUGGAACAAAGAUCUGCCACCAAGAAUACAGCAGGCCAACAUGCAUCUUUCUGGGUGUUCAAGCAGGAUUGUCCUUGUUGACAUCAGAAUUGACGAUGGUAUUUUCAGCCUCUUCUCUUUUCGAUAUUUAAUAUGAGAUCUGAGCCUGAGAAAUUUCAGCCAUAAAUGCUGCAUGUUUUGCACAUGCUUUGUUCUGAUUGUAAUAUCUGGCAAUUUCAGAUUUUUGGGAUAGCACUUGGAUUCAAUCUUCUAUUUGAAUAUGAUGAUCUCAUCACUGGGAUAUGUUUUGCAACCGUUGUUCCUAAUCUGCUACCAUAUGCUAUAUCACACCUGGUAAAGAAGAAGAUUAUCUCAUAUAGAAAACUUCAAACCUAUAUUGUAAUCUGAUUUGGAGUUAAUAUUUGUCAAUUACUUUCAUAUACCUAUUCUAGGGAAAGAAGAUGGUGGGGACAUUAAAUGCUUGCAUUGCAGGCUUUGCGCUUCUUUGCUACGUUCUUGGUUUAUUGGUCAGCCAACCACAAAUUCCUCUGACAACGAAUGUAAUUUUCCCCAAGCUCAGUGGUGAAAGUGCUUAUUCUCUGAUGGCUCUUCUUGGUGCAAACGUAAUGGCACACAACUUUUACAUCCAUUCAUCAGUUGUUCAGGUAAAUUAUGAUGCUUCUUUGUGCCCAUUACAUAGUUAGAAUUAUAUUUGAUUUGAUGCAUUUGGGGUGAGGGGGGUUUGGGCAUUUGGUGGACAAUGGUCAAUGGCAUGCCACAAUUAUUUACACCACACAAUGACACAUGUUGCUAGCUUUGCUAGUGUUUCGAACAGUUCAGAAAUUCCAAACUGAUAGCAAGGGUCACUAUAUUAGACUAGUUAUACCAGUCUAAUAUCGGAUGUAGUGGAGAAUGUUUUUGUUCUAAUAGAUCCAGUGGUUUGUGGGUACGCUGUAUCCAACUGAAAAAGAUAUGGUUUGUCCUAUUUCAAUUGUUUGCGCAGAGUUGAAGUGAUGUUCAUUGACUUAAUUUCAAAACACCAAGAUACAUCUUCUAGCGAAUUGCAGCAUUAUGUUAGGCAUGCUCAUCGUUAGUUAGUGAAAGAAUUUGUUCUCACUUAAUCCAGUUUGGAGCUUAACUAACAAUUAUGGCCAAUGAAACUAUAGUAUUUAAUAAGCUAUUGUGCCACAUGCGGAAUACUAUUUCUGAUUGACAAGCACAAAUCUAGAAUGUUCCUUGAGUAAAUGUUUGUUCCCUAAAACUGUGGCCUAUUUCUAUUUGUUUUCUUUUUUACUUUCGCGUGUACAUAUUUUGGUUCACUAAUGGUAAGUGUCUAGUGUUCAUGAGGUCUUUGCCUUAGGUUUGCUAGUAUAUGAUAUAUAUAUUACCUAAAGUGUAUAAAAAUGGAUAGCAUUAGUGAGUUUGACAGCAAAACCAGCUACAUUUCAUUGCCCUUUGUGUCUUAUGCUUUUGGUUGUCUUUUUUUUUCAGCUUGUAUCCAUGUUUGCUAAUCAAAUAAUCUCUUUUCAGGGUCAGAAAAGAUCUGCCUUUGCUGUUGGUGCCUUAUUUCAUGAUCACUUGUUUUCAGUAUUAUUUAUUUUUACUGGAAUUUUUCUGGUGAAUCAUGUUCUAAUGAACUCUGCAGCAGCUGAUUCCACUAACACCCUUCUUCUCACCUUCCAAGAUGUUGUAGAACUAAUGAACCAGGUUAGUACUAUAGUUCCUACUACUUCACCCUGUGAUAUGCUAAGCUGGUGCUGAAGAAAUCUUGUUUCAGUAGCAAUCCUAAAGUGAUAUACACUACCUAACAUUUAUCAUUUUGCAGAUAUUUGUAAACCCUAUGGCUCCAACUAUAUUUCUAGUGGUUCUUCUCUUCUCUAGCCACAUCAUCUCGUUGACAUCUGCUAUUGGUAGCCAAGUGAUUUCGCAGCAUUUGUUUGGCAUUAAUCUUCCUCUCUCUGGACAUCAUCUGAUACUGAAGGCUUUUGCCAUAGUUCCUGCUCUGUACUGUGCUAAGGUUGCAGGUGCUGAAGGAAUAUACCAAUUACUGAUAAUCUGCCAGAUUAUCCAGGCCAUGCUCCUUCCAUCAUCAGUCGUGCCACUCUUCCGUGUUGCCUCAUCAAGAUUGAUAAUGGGUGCCCACAGAGUGUCUUUGCAUCUGGAGAUAUUAACAUUUCUUGCAUUUCUCCUCAUGCUGUUUUCGAAUAUCAUCUUUAUGGCAGAAAUGCUGUUUGGUGACAGUGGUUGGCUGAACACUCUGAAAGGGAAUACUGGAAGCCCUGUGGUGUUUCCAUCUACGGUUCUCAUCACGGUGGCUUGUGUCUCUGUUGCAUUUUCACUCUACAUGGCUGUUACACCACUGAAAUCAGGAAGCCAUGAAGCUGAAUUGCAGCAGGAAUGGUCUGUGCCUUCUCAGAAAGAGCUCUUGAAUACUACUCAAGACAGAGAAGAGACUUGUGCGGGCAAUGUUACCUAUGAGGAAGAUCAGAGAUCUGAUGUUGUCCCUUCUCCUAGGAUUCAGCCUGUGGAUUGUCUGAAAUCAGCUCUGGACUACAUUGAUAGUUCGGACACAGCUAUAGAAUCUGAUCAUGAUUCUCAACAUUCCACUGCUCAUACAUCUACCGCUCCUGAAUCCUGUCACUCUCCAUCAUUCAUUCCUGAAGAGUCAAAAUCAGUUGUUGCUGUUGACUGGCCAGAGCCUCUGGAGCCAAUUUCUAAUGCUAUUGUGGCUGAGGAAAGUACAGUAGAGAGUGUGGACUCCAAGAGCACAGGCGAAAGGGAUAUUGAAGUAGAACCAGCUCUUUUGAUGGACAAUGAUAAGGAGGCUCCAAAUAUUCUAGAGUCUGACAACAAGCCACUUGGAGGCAAUAAUCCUUCCUGUGCAUCGGAUGAUGGCCCACCAUCUCUUACCUUCAGCAGGGGGAAAGGCUCAGAUGCAGGCAAUGGCAGCGGGAGUCUCUCGAGGUUAUCUGGUUUGGGCCGUGCAGCAAGGAGGCAACUAGCAGCCAUACUUGAUGAGUUCUGGGGGCAUCUCUUUGAUUACCAUGGGAAACUCACUCAAGAAGCUAGCUCUAAAAGGUUUGACAUCUUGCUUGGGCUAGACGUAAGAACACCUAGCUCAACUGUAAGAGCAGACAGUCAAGCUAAUGAAAUCCCGAAGAGUCCCAUGGUACGAGACAAUUUACAAGGGUCUGCCUUCUUGGGAAGUUCAAGGGAUCUGAUGUCUACUAAGAAUGAGAUGUCGAAUUUGGAUCUGACAUAUGGGCUUCAGAUGGGCAAUAACAUUGGGUCAUCAGCCUGGUCUCAGGGCAUGCAGUUACCAAGUACCCAACUGCAGAGUUCAAGCAACAGCUUACUCGAUCAAGGUGCAAGAUUAAAUUCAAAUUUUAGCACGCCAUCAUACGCAGACAACAACCAAUUCUACCAACCUGCAACGAUUCAUGGGUAUCAGCUCGCAUCAUACCUAAAACAGAUGAAUGCUAAUCGAAAUCCUUACUCUAGCAUGCCAUUGGACCCACAGCGACUUCCAAAAUCUUCUGCAUCGGCUGUGCCAACCUAUGUCGAUUCUGUCAUGCAUGCUCGUAACCAGAACUUGCUUGCUUCAUUGGGAGCUACUCCUUCACAGAUCGCAGCAACAUCCCGGAUAGGUACUAUGAUGGCAGAAAGAUCCUAUUAUGUCCCUUCCACUCUUGACGGGAAUGAAAAUGCUGGUUCAUCAGCUUACUCAAAGAAGUACCACAGCUCACCAGACAUAUCUGCACUGAUUGCUGCAAGCAGGAGUGCUCUGUUGAAUGAAUCAAAGUUGGGUGGUGGUACCAUUGGAUCCCAGUCGUACCUUAGCAGGCUUGCAUCGGAAAGAUCUCAGUAUACAAACUCGGUGGCCAGGCCUGCAGCUCCCUUGGCGUUUGAUGAGCUCUCUCCACCUAAGCUCCCAGGGGAUAUCUUCUCAAUGCAACAAAGCCCAAACCCAAGUGCAAGAUCCCUUUGGGCUAAGCAACCUUUUGAGCAGCUGUUUGGUGUGUCGAGUGCGGAGCUCACUAAAAGCGAGUUCAACCCUGCAGGCAGAUCGGGUGGCAUGACCAAGGAUGAUUUCUCUUACAAGGAGUCUGAGGCGAAGCUUCUUCAGUCUCUUAGAUUCUGCAUCUCGAAGCUCCUGAAGCUAGAAGGAUCAGGGUGGCUGUUCAAGCAAAAUGGUGGCAGCGACGAAGAUCUGAUUGAUCAAGUUGCUGCGGUAGAGAAGCUAUUGCAACAAGGAACCAGUGACAACCAACUGCUGCUUGGUGAUACUCAGCAACCACCAUGUGAUAAGGCAGACAUCCAGUACAUGCGCGUACUGCCUAACUGCGGAGACGACUGCAUCUGGCGCGCCUCCCUCGUUGUCAGCUUCGGUGUCUGGUGCAUCCGCCGGGUGCUAGACCUGUCUCUGGUGGAAAGCAGGCCAGAACUUUGGGGCAAGUAUACCUAUGUUCUCAACCGUCUUCAGGUGAGCUAUUUCAGUCCUGAACUAGUCUGAAUUUGAGUGUUGUUUUUCAGUGCCCAAGACUUGACUGCAAACCUGAAACUGCUCAUUUUCAACGUACAAGACUAACUCUGUCAAUCAUUUUUUUCGCUCAAAUGUAAUGCAGGGCAUCCUGGAUCCUGCAUUCUCCAAGCCUCGGAGUGCUCUCAGCGCGUGUGCGUGCCUUCACAGAGAUAUCCGGGUGCUCAACAGCCUGCGCCACAGUAGCCUGGUAGCAACAAACUCCAUUCCAAGGCAAAUCCGAGGUUCCUUCACCACCGCAUCUGUGGUCCUGGAGAUGAUCAAGGAUGUGGAGACCGCAGUCUCAGGGCGCAAGGGCAGGAGUGGCACCGCAGCUGGGGAUGUCGCCUUCCCCAAGGGGAAGGAGAACCUGGCCUCCGUGCUGAAGCGAUACAAGCGGAGGCUCUCGAGCAAGGGACAACAAUAAUAAGGCAUCUGGGCAGCGUGAUCCUGUCGCGUUUUAGGGGGACUUUGACCAUUGUUCUUCAAGGAUGGCAGCCAGCCAUGGUGGCUUGCCCUCCCUGAGCCCUGGAUUUUUUCGUUGCACAACGUUUGCAGGGACCUGAGGAAUUGGCCAACACUUCUGGUCCCUUCCAUCAUAUUUCGUUUUUUUUUGUUUCUUUCUUGUUUUUUUUUUUUUUUUUGCAUGUGAUGUGUUGUAUAAUGGUAACUGUUCAUGUGCCAGAAGAACAACCACCAAAAUGUACAACAGAUGUAGUCAGCUGAUGCACCAUUGUAAAGUUUAGUCUCUGCAUUUUAACCUUUUUUUUGGGGGUCAUUGACAAACUGAAUGAAUGCCCUGUGUAAUCUCUCUUCAGAGAGGAUGCCAAGACUGAGAAAAAGCUUUUGCCAGAUUUCCAGAUUCCUUGUGUUCAUCUAAUAUCUGUCAUGUCUCUCACAUUUUCUCCAGCUUAUGAUCUUUUUGUCUCGUUGGCAUUUGAUAGCGUGUGCUGGAGAUGUCUACCGUAUAUGUGGAUUACUGUAUUAAGCUUCUGGGACCGGUGUAUAUAUAUAAUUUGUAUGGAUAGAGAUAAAGAAAUACUAACUCGAUAUGGAUUAGUUAUAUCCUAAUGUUUCUCUAAACACCAGGCGUAGUGGCACUGUACUGCAACCUCACCCAAGAACAUGUUUUUGGGGUUCAGACUUGAGAGUAUCCAUUGCUGAAUUUGCCUCACCGCAAGUUUAGUCUUGCAUUUCACAAAAUUGCAAGGAUAGCUAACAAUUUUAUCACAAAACCAUAAACUUUGUGGCCGUGCAAUUGGAUAUGCUCUCUUUGCUCAGAAGCUUUUGAGGAUACUGAUCACCUGUUCAGAAACUGUGCCUUUGGACUUGAUUUGUACCGGGAAACUUGACAACCCGGCCGACACAGUAUUCUCGAUUAGAUGUUGGGAAAACAAGAUAGCCAAAACAAAUACGGCACAAAAGGCAAAGGAGACCUCUGGGAAUACUAAUCAGGAGAGAGAAACUUAGGUGGUGUUUGAAUCUUCCUUUAAGAUGAAGAUUAAGUGUUUCACGUAAAACGAGGUGAUAAUAUUAUGUGAUUAAUUAAGUUCUAAUCAUUACAAACUUGAAAAAUAUAUUAAUUUGAUAUUUUAGAACAACUUUUAUAUAGAAAGUGUUCACAUGAAACUACCGUUUAGCAGUUUAGAAAAGCGUGCCACGAGUAUCCAAAAGCUUAUCAAUUUUGUUGGAGAAAAGAAUAGGGUUAGUCUUCCAAGGUUCUUUUAUUCGGCAGAGCUCCCGCUGUCGGUUCUUUAAAGAAAAACUCGUAGAUUAGGCCACCCAUCAAAUAUAAAUGUAAUACUCCAUUACACAAAUUUAAUUUUACAUAAGGGUUCAAAAUUACAUUAUAGUUUAUUUACACUACGAAUUACAUCUGGGUAAAUUUUUAGAAAUUUGGAAGCAAAACCGUGAACACGUCAUCAAAAACUGGAUGUGGGCUCCACGAGUUCAGAGGAUGUUCCGAACCCGUUUUGAUCGCCCACGGCCCGCCGCCCCGCCGUGGAGCCGAUCCCCGCCACCGCCGGCGAGCAGCUGUUCCGGACGGCGUCCUGCUGCUCCCUGCGCCGCCCCCAUCCCCUCGGCCUCCGCCGAGCUCGUUCCUGCGCGGUGAGCAUCCUUGCCGACGCACCAGAACCCUCUUUUUUUUCUCUCUCUCUCUCGUUGUACCCACACACCUCUACUCGAAUUUGCUCUAUCUUCUCUUGUAGAUCUGAAAGCUAGGUUUUCUUUUUUACUUGUCUUAACCUUUAGUUACAUAACAGGUUUUUUCCCACAUCAGGUCCACAUCGAUCUAUAAUAGCCAAGAGCCCAAGACCUGCAGGGCUUCCCGGGGGUGGUGCAUCUUCUCAGGCGGAGGGGCCUCCUUGGAUUCCUUGAAGUUUAUGGCGCCGGCGACCAAACUCAUCACCGUGUGUGCACCGGCAAAUAUGACGAACAGGUCCCCCUGUACAUGUGCGCGGUCACCUUGAGUUGGUCACCCCUGUCAAAACAUAGUAACUUUGUCAAAACCUAACCUAAACAAACAUGUUUUUUUCACAAAAUUCUUCAUUCUUACCUCAUGUCUGAUUUUAACAAAUCUAGCCUGUGGUUUGCCUUCAGAUGAGCAAUACGCCAUCCAUGCAUACUUCCUGCCGCCCUCUCCUGUUUCCUAAUGCGCUGCUCAAGGCGCCUCAUCAUAACCUUUUGCACCAGAAAAGCAUCAAAAUGUUGCUUGUCAGCACAAAACAAUAAAUCCUUCUCAAGUCUCAACGAGGGGGUAAAACUUCCAGCAUCACAGGUAGCUUCUCCAGGUCACUCCUCUCUCAUCCAGUUAGGAAUCGUGGAUGCAAAUGCAGAAUCGAUUUCAUCCGUCCCCGAAAAGAAAUACAAGGGAUUUUGGCAAUGCGAAUGCAGAGCCAAACUCCCUCAUAUUUGGAUUUGGGGACAGAGGUAGCAGAUAGGCAAGGCAAUUAGAGCAGUAAUUUUACCCUGGUAGCUCUUGUGGAGAAAUAGCGGGGCUGGGCGAGUGCGGAGGAAGCCCAUGGUGGGGUGGAGGUGGCGGCGGACUGAACAAGAAACAACAAGUUAGGCGCAUUUAACGGAGGAAUAGUGCAGUAGCAAUAACUAGGAAGCUUGUGCAACAAAAUAAGCAAGCACACGCGACAACAAAAUGAUCCAAUCCAAUUACUUAGAAUCAACUCAACUCAAUAGUGCAGUAGUAGCAAAUCAGAAAACAACUUCAACUCGGACUGGCAGCUGCUGACGCAGGACGAGGCGCGCGGCCACGUCCGCGAGUACGCCGACAACGCCGCCCUCUGGGACCACGACUUCGCCGCCUCGCUGCUCAAGCUCAGCAAGCUGCCCAUGCCGGUGGGGAGCAAGGGGGAGAUCAGGAACAAGUGCGGCGCCAUCAACCACAGCAAGAGCUAAUUCGGCCACUUAUGCAGGGGGUUACGUACAUGCAUGCAGACGAUGUGGUCGUAGCCAUAUGUUUUCUUGUUAUAUCUCAUCGUUCUAAAAUACAGAAAACCUUGUACUCGAAAAAAACAUCAUAUAGUACUAUCAAAUCAGUCUAGAUUUAUACUACUAGAUAGCUAGUGUCUAAUCGAGUACUAGGAGUAUAUUUUAAAACAAGAGUAGUUUGUUAUUACUUGGUACUAGCACGUCAGUGAAUGUACGUGCACAAGAAAUCCUCGUCGAUAAUGAAAACUAGCAUGGUAUUGGAGAAUCCAUCUCUUAAACCCAUCAAGUCGAAAUCCUGAAGCACCAAAAUCCCCCUACUUGAUACGCAACUAUCGACGUUUGAUGUCGCAAUUCUGGUAUUUGCAUAGUAUGGGGAUCGUCGGUGCUAGGAUAUACGCGAGACUGAGGUGAAAGAGACGGAGACAAGGAUUUUUAUACAGGUUCGGGCCCCUGAGUUGUCAGGUAAUAACCCUACAUCCUGUUGGCCGGAGCCGGUAUUGCUUUUAUUCACCAUAAUCACACCAGUACAAUAUGUGGGGUAGCCUAUUUAACUGUUGUCGACAUGUCGGUCUGAAGGUCUGACUCGUAGUCGACAACAGGGUAGCCUUCCUCCUCGAAUCCGUGUCCGGCGAGAUCAGAGAUAGCGCUUUCGUCUCUCCUGACGGUAUCCGGAGACACCGUAGGGGAAUAGCCAUGCCUAUCCCUAAAGUCGAUAUCCGGCGGCUUGUCUUGGCAUAUGUUGGCUUGUAUGUUGUGGCUUCUGUUAUUCCGUAUAUUGUGGUGGUUGUUGAUUGAGGUGGUCGUCUGUGUCGAUCGUGGUGACUGUGUUGAUCCUGUCAUGGUGGGUGUCCCACUGUCCUCCUAGGGGGGCUUGUAUUUAUACCCAUAGGUGUCCCAUUGUCCAAGUAGAACUAGGGAAACCAAUAUGGAUACAAUCCGAGUAGUCCUUGUCGUUUCCAUGUAAAAUUCUGGUUGUCUUUCCUUAUCCGGAACUCCCUCCAUAACUGAAGUUAGUUUCUGUAUAAGACAUGGUAUGUGGUGGGUCCUGCCGAGAUUUAGUCAACUACUAUUAGGUAUGUGGUAUCCAUAACCCUGACAGUAGCCCCCGACUUCAAUGCAAAUGAACGAAUUCAUAUUCUCAACCGCAGACCCUGGAGUAACUGUUGUCGUGCUCACGUGACCGUUCUCGGUGAGUUUAGAGAUAACGUUAGACUUUCUUUAUCAGCCUCGUGCGGGCACCAAAACGGUUUGUCUAAGUCAAUCUCUGAUGUCAACCAAGGAAGUACAGAGCGUACGACUAAGUCUCCCGUCUUGCUGUAAUCGAGAAUUUGGAUUGAAGUCAAGAAAUUCUAUCUCGGCUGGUACACCAUCUCUUCAUUCCGUAUUCCUUGUCGAGAUCCAGCAACCGUUCUCGAGCGAUCGAGAAGGCGUAGAGUCUGCGACGGAGCCUUGUCAACAUUUGUCGUACUCGCCAUAGUCGAUCUUGGUGUAGAACCAUAGAGACAUAGAGUCUUCGUCAAUGUCGAAUAGAAUUUUCCUGAAAUCAAUACUCAGAAAAGAAUAUUAGAUAGAAAUAGCCCCCGAGCGAAUGCCCAAAGGGUGAUAAUGUUAUAAUAUGUAUGGUAAAUUGAAAAUGAAUUAAAUUUACCGACCAAUGUUUUGUGUAUGAGCGUCUUCUCUCUUACCGACUUCGAUCAGUCAGUUUGUAGAGUCAUACACUCUCCCUAGCCCCCAGCCUUGUCGUCGGAGAAUCGUUCUCGGAGGAUAAGGCUCUUGGACCCUUGACCUGCCUUGGUUGAACAAACACUGAUCCUAGCCCCCAGCCGUGAAGUUGGAAAGCUCAGUUUCCGAUUACACGGCUUGGUUAAUACGCACGGCGAGAACUCUUACACGACCAGAUCUUACAUGGUCUUUUGUCUCUACAGGAUCCGACAAGGCCUUAUCGGCUCUGGGCGUCCCCAGCCGAAGUUCCCUUAGGUUCCUCGGAGGCCUUGUCAAGACGGCGUAAUGGGACAGUAGGAUAGGUUUCAACGCUAGGUGUCGUCGUGGUAAGGGAUCUCUGGGUAAAACACUUGGCGAUAUUGUAUACCAGCUAUCAACUUUGUUGAAAUAGAGGUAGUAGGAGAGUCGUUACACCGCUGGUCGAGAACCAGGCAGUAGUCAUAACUCGACCACUUAAAGUGGAAAUAGUGGGAGAAACGCUACAUCGCUGGUCGAGAACCAGGCAGUAGUCGUAUCUCGACCACUUAAAGUGGAAAUAGUGGGAGAAACGCUACAUCGCUGGUCGAGGACCAGGCAGUAGUCGUAACUCGACCAAUUAAAGUGGAAGUAGUGGGAGAGACGCUACAUCGCUGGUCGAGAACCAGACAGUAGUCGUAACUCGACCACUUAAAGUGAAAAUAGUGGGAGAAACGCUACAUCGCUGGUCGAGAACCAGGCAGUAGUCGUAACUCGACCACUUAAAGUGGAAAUAGUGGGAGAAACGCUACAUCGCUGGUCGAGGACCAGGCAGUAGUCGUAACUCGACCACUUAAAGUGGAAAUAGUGGGAGAAACGCUACAUCGCUGGUCGAGGACCAGGCAGUAGUCGUAACUCGACCACUUAAAGUGGAAGUAGUGGGAGAAACGCUACAUCGCUGGUCGAGGACCAGGCAGUAGUCGUCACUCAACCACUUAAAGUGGAAGUGGUGGGAGAAACGCUACAUCGCUGGUCGAGGACCAGGCAGUAGUCGUCACUCGACCACUUAAAGUGGAAGUGGUGGGAGAAACGCUACAUCGCUGGUCGAGGACCAGGCAGUAGUCGUAACUCGACCACUAGAAGCAAAUGUACGAGAGAUUACUACGAUCAACUGGUUGAGAACCGGUGAGUAGGUGUCCCUCGAUCAUUUGGAGUCGUGGUACGAGAACCGCUACGCUGCCGGUCGAAGACCAGUCGUAGCUGUUCCUCAACCAUCUGAAGUCAUGGUGCGAGGACCGCUACGAUGCCGUAGUCAUACCUCGACCAUCUGAAGUUAAGGUGCGAAAGAUUGCUACGUACUGGUGCGAGAACCAGCGUGCGAGCAGAAUUAUCUCUCGAACACCAAUGGAAGUUGCGGUGUGAGAGAUUGCUACGUACUGGUGCGAUAACCAGUGAGCGAGUAAAAUUAUCUCUCGAACACCAAUGGAAGCUGCGGUGUGAGAGAUUGCUACGUACUGGUGCGAGAACUAGUGAGCGAGCAGAAUUAUCUCUCGAACACCAGUGGAAGUGCUAGAGUUGGUUUAUUGCAAGUGUAUCUCAUGUGGCCAGCAUGACUCACGUACCCAACUUAUAGCAUAUCCGGAUGUCCGUUCGCAAUCAUGUCGGGUGAUCAAGCCGACGACGUUCGCAAGGAAUUAUCCGUUAACAACCUUUUCUCAAGUAGUCCAGCCAUGGCCGGUGCUAUGAGAUAGGUCGUCGGUCUUUGUUGGUAGGUUGGGUGCGAUAACUCCGCAUUUGUCAAGAAUGUUCUCGAUAAUGGAGUAUAUUCGACCAUAACCUACUCGAGUGCUCAAUUGUUCCUGAAAAAUAUUUUCUAGAAGGCAAGAUAUAUAGCAGAUAAUAUCGAGUAUGUACUCAAAGAACUGCAUGGAUCUUCUAGUAUUAUCAGGAUACAAUAAGCAGAUGUAAAUAUCAGGGCAUUAUGUAAACCGUAAACAAGCAUGAUUUAUACAUAAGAGAACGGAGUGAGCCCCCAGCGUUAGACCGUAGUUGGUCUAUCGUCGGAAGUACUCGCACAACGGAUGUUGUAUAAGAAACAUGCUCUAGGUAAACAUAAUAAAUUGCUGAUAUGAUAAUGUUGUAUCAUCUGAAUAGGUACGAUAAAUUGCAUAUAAAAUAUUACGUACCUUUGUAGAUACAUGCCGGAUGUAUCUACGAAAUUAGUAGAUCAAUUUGAAAAACCAAUCUACCAAUUACCUUAUUGCGUACUCGUUCGACAUCAUAUGAUCUGACAUCUUUUGGUACGGCGCGGAGCUUGAGGCUUGGGUGAUCUCGAUAAACCAAGUUGUCGAUGACGAUGAUGGUUCUGAUCUUGUCGGAAGACAUGUUCCGGUCGGGUUAGAUCUCCACAGCCGAAGUCGUCGAGUAGUUUGCUAUUGGAGAAUCCAUCUCUUAAACCCAUCUCGUCGAAAUCCUGAAGCACCAAAAUCCCUCUACCUGGCGCGCCACUGUCGACGUUUGAUGUCGCAAUUCUGGUAUUUGCAUAGUAUGGGGAUCAUCGGUGCUAGAAUAUACGCGAGACUGAGGUGAAAGAGACGGAGACAAGGAUUUUUAUACAGGUUCGGGCCCCUGAGUUGUCAGGUAAUAACCCUACAUCCUGUUGGCCGGAGCCAGUAUUGCUUUUAUUCACCAUAAUCACACCAGUACAAUAUGUGGGGUAGCCUAUCUAACUGUUGUCGACAUGUCGGUCUGAAGGUCUGACUCGUAGUCGACAACAGGGUAGCCUUCCUCCUCGAAUCUGUGUCCGGCGAGAUCAGAGAUAGCGCUUUCGUCUCUCCUGACGGUAUCCGGAGACACCGUAGGGGAAUAGCCAUGCUAUCCCUGAAGUCGAUAUCCGGCGGCUUGUCUUGGCAUGUGUUGGCUUGUAUGUUGUGGCUUCUGUUGUUCCGUAUAUUGUGGUGGUUGUUGAUUGAGGUGGUCGUCUGUGUCGAUCGUGGUGACUGUGUUGAUCCUGUCAUGGUGGGUGUCCCCCUGUCCUCCUAGGGGGCUUGUAUUUAUACCCAUAGGUGUCCCAUUGUCCAAGUAGAAAUAGGGAAACCAAUAUGGAUACAAUCCGAGUAGUCCUUGUCGUUUCCAUGUAAAACUUUUGUUGUCUUUCCUUAUCCGGAACUCUCUCCAUAACUGAAGUCAGUUUCCGUAUAAGACAUGGUAUGUGGUGGGUCCUGCCGAGAUUUAGUCAACUACUAUUAGGUAUGUGGUAUCCAUAACCCUGACAAUAGUAUGUUUUCUCAUUAUAUUAUUCAAAUAUAUUAAAAUGACAACUUAAUUUUAAAUUUUGCAAUAACUUUACAAAACUACUAAUAUGUAAUAUCCAUAUUGUAUUUUAUAUACGUGUUAGUUAUUAAUUAUUUUUAAUAUCAAAUUUUAGUUAUUUGUAAAUUAUAUAUAUUGACUCAUUUUUUAAUAUAUUUUUUUAAUUCCGAAUUUUCUGUAAAUUGUAUUUCUAUAUAGACUCUAUGCUCUUCUUCCAAUAUUAUUUAUUUUUAUUUCAGAAUUUUUAUUAUUUCUAAUUGUAUUUCUAUGUGGACUCUAAACUAAUUUUUAAUUUCGAAUUUCAGUUACUUAUAAAUUGUAUUCCUAUAUUGACUUUAAACUCUUUUUCCCAUAUUUUUCUUAAUUUCGAAUUUUAGUUAUUUGUAAAUUGUAUUUUUAAUUAUUUUUAAUAUCAAAUUUUAGUUAUUUGUAAAUAUAUAUAUAUAUUGACUCGUUUUUUAAUAUUUCUUUUUUAAUUUCCGAAUUUUCUGUAAAUUGUAUUUCUAUAUAGACUCUAUGCUCUUCUUCCAAUAUUAUUUAUUUUUAUUUCAGAAUUUUUAUUAUUUCUAAUUGUAUUUCUAUGUGGACUCUAAACUAAUUUUUAAUUUUGAAUUUCAGUUACUUCUAAAUUGUAUUCCUAUAUUGACUUUAAACUCUUCUUCAAAUGUUUUUCUUAAUUUUGAAUUUUAGUUAUUUGUAAAAUGUAUUUUUAUACGGACUCUAAACUCUACUUUUAAUUUUAUUAUGUUUAUUCCAAAUUUUAGUUAGUUUUAAAUUCCUAUAUGGACUCUAUACUCUACUUCUAAUAUUCCUUAUUUUUUAAUUCCAAAUUUCUAUUUUUUUCUUAAUUGUAUUUAUAUAUAGACUCUAUACUCUACUUCUAAUAUUCCUUAUUUUUAAUUCCAAAUUUCUAUUAUUUACUAAUUGUAUUUCUAUAUAGACUAUACUCUACUUCUAAUAUUUCUUAUUUUUAAUUCUGAAUUUCAGUUAUUUCCUAAUUGUAUUUCUAUAUGGACUCUAUACUCUACUUCUAAUAUUCCUUAUUUUUAAUUCUGAAUUGCUGCUAUUCCCUAAUUGUAUUUCUAUAUGUACUCUAUACUCUAGUUCUAAUAUUCUUAUUUUUAAUUCCGAAUUUCAGUUAUUUUCUAAUUGUAUUUCUAUAUGGACUCUAGUCUCCUCUUCUAAUAUUCCUUAUUUUUUAAUUCCAAAUUUCAACUAUUUCUAAAUUGUAUUUCUAUAUGGACUCUGCCUUUUCUUUUUCUCCGAUUAAUGUGAGAAUUUCUAGGCCAUGAGAGCGAACGUGGAGACUUCCUUUUCUAUUCCUUUAAUAAUAUAAUAGAAGAUAUAAGUAACAAAAAAAAUACAAUUUGACAGGAAUUAUAUCAAAACAAUUAGUAUUUGUGAUCAAACGGGCAUGCAUGUGGGGUCAGCCCACCCUAGCCCAUGGCUUGAUGGGUACAUCCUGAUUAUUAUGCACUGCUCGACAAGGAUAUGCCGUGGCGGCUCACGUGCUAAGGCCAGAACCAAGAUAUGGCCGAAGAGGAGCCAGGACGUGCACGUGUGACCCAUGAAAUAUUUUUUUCAUGAAAUUGCACGUUAGUAUAUUAGAAAAAAAAUAGAGUUUUAGUUAUACAGCGUAAUCGACCAAACUGGUCGCUGUCGGUUACAAGGAAAAAGAUUGCGGAAGGGAAAAGAGUCAAAACUAGAAGUUGUUGCUCGUAUCUAGCGGCACUACUACGAAAACCAUCUUUCGUUGCGGCCAUUUUGGGUUUUCGCUGGUGGUUUUUGGUACCGCCACAAAGCAAAGGCCAGUGAAGAUCAAGAUCUUCGCUAGCGGUUAUCGGCCGCCAGUGAUAAUUGAUUUUUGCUGGCGGUUGUGUUAUACUGGCCGCCAGCGAUAAACGAUUUUCGCUGGCGGUUGAGUUAUACCAACCGCCUGCGAAAAUAGUGGCCCAGGUUAAAAAAAAAUGACAAAGCAACACUGCUCCGUUCGCCUCCAUCAACACCGGUUCAAAUUAUUCCCAAAUCCACUCCUCGAUUCACAAAUUCACAUAAAUUUACACGAACAAUUUAUAAUAAAAAAUUUCCAUUCACAGUCAAAAUUUUCCAUUCACAAUCCACAGAAAUCCAAAAAAAUGCACACAAAUCCACACAAAUCUACAGAAAUCUGAGCACCACCGCCCGUGACCUGGCGGCGUCGGCUUCACGCUCCCCACGGCGCAGCGUCGAUCGUGACGAGGUCAAGGCCGACGGUCGUGCUCCACCGCCCGAGGCCCCGCGGCCGUGCGCCCCGCGCCGCCGCCGGGGCGGAUCCGUCCUUCCCGGCGGCAGCCUCCUCCCCUCGGACAGAUCUAGGAGAGGGUAGAGGAGGGGAUGGGAGGGCGCGGCGCCACCGCUUCCUUCGUGGUCAUCGUCGUCACCGCUUCCGUCGUAGUCGCUGUUGUCGCCGUGCACAUUCGCGCCGCGCCCCUCCCGCCCGUCGUCGGCGCCGCGCCCCUCCUAGAUCUCGGUCGUCGACAAGAGGAGGAAGCUGGAGGAGCAGGGAAGGAGGAGGGGGAGAGAGGUGGGGGAGGAGGAGGAGAGGGAGGUGGAUGGGUGGGUGGAGAGGAGGAGACAGAGGAGAGAGAGGCAGUGGGUGGGUGAAAGGAAAAUAUCUCAGCACGCGCGUGAUUUUAAAUGAUGCCAAAUUUUUUUAGCGGGCUCUGUUUUUUCGCUAGCGGAAGUGUUUAGUAACCACUAGCGAAAACCGACGCGAAAACGUCGGUUUUCGCUGGCGGACAUUUAAGAGAUCCACCACGAAAAAUAGAGUAUGUUUUAUGGCGGACGUCUUAACGUGGCCACCAGAGAAAAUCGGUUUUCGCUGGCAGUCCUAUACCCCCCACCCCUCAUGUUUUUGCUGGUGAUUUUAGCAUAUAACCGCCAGUGAAAAUUAUAGUGUGACGCCAUGAAAAAUUGUUUUUCUAGUAGUGCGGGAGGGGGUGGCGGAGGAGCCUCCUAAUCUCCCAAAAGGCUCCCAAACGAGACAGGACCAGCGAGAGACCAGAGACGAACCUCCUAGCGAAUGUAUUGGAAAACCAUCGAGACCGGCGAAAGAGAAAGAAUCGAAAACCCUAGCGUUCCGCUCUUUCCAAAGCUGUAGGAAACCAAGAGGACCAGAGAGUCGAAGGCCUUACGAAGAUGCUAAGGCAGGCAAGCCCUAUCUACCGGCCACCAGACCUGAAGAGAAUCGCUACGGAGAGGCCGAGCAAGCCUAGGCAAGCCAAAGGGAGACCGGAUGUAGUGCCAAACUUAACGAGCGAACACACAGUCGAGCAUGAUGUGGCUCGCUAUUUCAUGCUUCUGAGCACAAAAUGGGCAGGUCGAGCGUCUGUAAAUGCCGUGCUUAUGCAGAUGAUCUGCCGCCUAGCAACGCUGUUGGAACACGUGACCCAUGACAUUUGAAAUCGAAGUUGGGAAAACCAAAAAUAGGAAGAAUAAGAAGAAUAGGAACAGGAAAAAAAAGAAAGAAAAUAAAAGAGGGCAAGGAAAAAUAAGGAAGAAAUAGGAAGAACAUGAGAAAAAUUAGGAUAAUCAUUGUGAAAAAAAUAGAUGGCCAACGGAUUAGGAUCCGCUGACAUGAAGUCAGAGGGACGUGGUGACUGAUAUGUGGGCCCAACCGCUCGCGAGCCCACCUGUCAGUGACCACGUCAAGGGGGAUUUCACGUCAGAGGAUCUUCUUCUGUGGCCGACCGGGCGGAGCUUGUUCUUGGUCCUUGCUGUGCCAUGUCUGGCCAUGCACGACAUGGCCAAAUGGGACGUGUGGAAGAAAUAUGUGCAUGCACAUGAUGAAACAUGAAUGUGUGGAAUAAAUACUAUGUCGUUUUGACUGUUUGUUGACUUUUGGACGAGCUUUUCGGCACCUAUAUGAAGUUAUGAACAAUGAAACAUGCAGAUCUAUAGAGAUACUAGUGCAUAGCGUUUAUUGGAUGGUAAUUCGUUGUCCUAAAAAUAAAAUGGAACUAUACCAGUCCAGGCGACCAAACAACAGUUUUUUUACAAGUGUUUCUGGGCAGUCGUUCGGCAGUGUGACAACAAUGACGAAGAGUUGACAGUCGGCAAUGUGGCAAUUAACGAGCAACAAUCUGAGGCACUCCCUCCAUCCUAAAGAAAAUCAAAUCAUACUAAAGGGGCCGAAUGGCCUGGGCCGCCUAUUUGCCAAUCAAAGUACACCCAAGGUCCCUCAACUUGUCAUCGAGUUACAAAAUCAUCCCCCAAUCGCAAAACCAAAUAUAUGACAUCCCUCAACUUAUAAAAACCAUUCACUUUAGGUCAUUCGGUGGUUUUGACCCUGGUUUUAUCCUACAUGAGCAGAGUCAGUGUGGGACCCACAUGAGCCCACAUGUCAGGAUGCCACGUCCGCACCCUCUCUCUUCCCCCUCCUCUCCCUUCCUCCUCUCUCUCUCUCUCUUACUCUUCUCUUCUCUUCUCUGGGCAAACCGGCCAGUGGCUGAGGAGGAGGCCGCCAGGGCGAGGCGCAAGAGGAGGAGGCGACGGCGGCUGCGACGCGGGAGAAGGCGAGGGUGGCGGACGGUCGCGAAUGGCAUUGACGGUGCUGCGUCGCCUCCGCCCCGUGCGGGCAGGCGCCGCGGCAUUGGGCACAGAGGCGGAGACAGGGCCGGGUGCCGUGGAGGUGGACUCGGCGGACUUGGAGCCCCGGCCUGCUCUUGCGCCGCAUCCUCCCUCUCUCCGUGUGCUGGCUGUCCCUCCCUACCUCCUCCCUAUUCGCGUGCGCUCGCCGCCGGCCGGCGGGCAUGGGAGCAAGCGAGCCGUCCGUGGCGUCGGCAGCAAUGGUGGUGCGAUGCAUGAGGAUGGGGAGGACCAGCGUCAUCGUCACGUCACGUCCUCGUCGGCGCGAAGAUGAAGGAGACGGGGAAGAGGAAGAGGUGGUGCGCGUCCUCCUCCUUCUCGUCGAACUCGUCGCAAUCGUCGUUGUCGUUCGCCGAUGCCCCGCUCCGCGCUGGCGGCUUCGCACGUUGCCACUCUGCCCACCGUCGCCCCACUUCGCCUGCUUGCUCUACCCGCCGGCUUCAUGCGGCGCCGCUCCGCCUAUUCUGCUCCCCUCUGGUCGGCUGCUCCCAUGGGAGAGAGCGGACAGAUACAGAGAAGAGAGGGGAUGAGAGAGGAGAGGAUAGAGGAAGAGAGGUUGAAAGGGGAGGGGAAGAAGAGGCUGACGUGUGGCGGUGUGGGACCCACGUGGGUAGAAGAAAAUCGAUUGGGAUUGAGACAGAGAGGGGGGGGGACCUGGAGAGACGCGCGUGGUAAAGGAAUAGGUUGGUUGUAUGUACAGAAAGUGGUUGGCAUGCUAGCUGUACGGUGGAAGCAAACCAUUAUGGCUUGCCAUUGACUUCUUUUUAAUUUCCUUGAGAAAUAGACAAAAAUUUAACCAGAUCCUCCUCAGCACCGUAGAGGGAAGGUCUCCUCGCCACCUUGCUAAUGGGCUCGUGGAUCUGGGCCGACGAUGGCCGGAUCCGUCAUCCUGCCCCGUCACAUGGUGUCAUCAGGGAUGAUGGAGACGGCGGCGGUGGAGCGAAGCAGUCGUCAAUGCUAGCUACGAAGAGGUCCAUCAUAGAUACCGGCUACGAGGUGGAGAUAAAAUCAGAAAAAAAAGAUGAACGGAUUGUGGAUAGCGCAUUACCUGGUCGUCGUAGGGAGAGAACCACCGGUAGCAACUGCGGCGGUGCUGGCGAUCACCGAUUAGCCAGUCGCGACACAAGGAAGAGGGGCUUGCUGUGGCAAGAGAAAAGCCGAUCCAGAUAUUUAGGAGAAGACGAUAACUAUGCGUGAUCACUGUUAUGUGGCGGUUUUGCAAUGACUACUUCCUGAAGAUUCGCUUCUCUACGUUCUGUAACAAUUUAAUGCGCAUAGAGUAAAAAAAUAACUCAAGAUGCUGACAUCGUUAGAGUACAACAAGAAACUAUCUCACUGUUAGUAAAAAAAAUUAUUUGGACUAUAGGAGUGGGGGCAGGGGGCGCAGGGGUGGGAUCGAGAUUGGUCGUUAGUGAGUAAAAUUUUAACUGCAUGCUAUAAACUUGGUGGGGGACAGGGUUGGGAGCGGCAGUGGUGGGGGGUUGAGCAGUGGGUGGGGCUGGGGGCUGUAUCACGUGCCAUUUAAUACGUAGCACCUUAAGGUGCCACAUAGUAGUUCUAUACACACACGCACACAUAUACACAAAUUUUUACGUGGAAAAUCCUUACGGGAAAAAACCACGGACACCGACUAGCAAUGAUCGAUAUAGAGAAGUUGAAUACAAACGCACGACACACUGGGUUGUCGCACCCUUCUCGUGUAGCUUACAAGAGACAUGUAAAAGAGAAAUCUAUAAGUCCUAGUAGGAAAAGACUUACAAUCAUAAUAAGAAACUAAUCAAGUGUUUUAUUAUAAAACUAAUCCGAACAUAUUGCAUGCUAUUUUUUUUGAAAGGAAAGCGGCAAGAGUAUUGCCGAAUAUAUUAGGAGAGAAAAGUAUGGUUUACACGAUUAAUGCGGAAAAACAACUUAGAAUCAUCUCAGAACCAUAGAUCCUGGUUUGAGAAGGGAAGAGAUACACUCAUGACGGUUGGAAUUCAAAACUGCUUUCUUGAAUAUCUUGGAUGAUCUGGUGUGAAGUCUUUUGCAUGUCCGGUUCUUCUCCUCUGAAGAUCUUUGCGUUCCUUUGUAGCCAAAUGUACCACCAAGUUUUGACAAUCUGAACAUAUUGCAUGCUGAAAUUUGGAUCACAUAUUUAACAAUCUCCAUCUUAAGACGAAUUUUCCUUGUAGCAUAAAAAUCCGAAACGCUCCUGUCCAGACGCCUGAUUGUAGGGAAAACAAUCGGAUUCUCAUGCGUCUCUCCUCAAACCGUGUGAUGUUAUAAUGGAUUUUUUUACUGUUCCAAUGGGUAUUUAAUGAUGUUUCACUAGGUCAUUUUGAAAUGUUACACGGGAUGUUUUUUUGAUGUUUAAGGAGGUAUUUUGUGAUGUCCUCGGCUGAUGUUUCACUGUAUCAUUUUUUAAUGUUGCACGUGGUGUUCUUUGAAUGUUUCAGGAGGUAUUUUGUGAUGUUUCAGCUAAUGUUUCACUAGGUCAUUUUGAAGUGUUGCACACAUGGUAUUAUUUUGAUGUUUUCCUAGGUAUUUUGUGAUGUUUCACUAUGUCAUUUGGAAUGUUGCAUGUCGUGUUCUUUGGAUGUUUCAGAAGGCAUUUUGUGAUGUUUUAGAACGUAUUUCACUAGCUCAUUCGGAAUGUUGCACGUGAUGUUAUUUGAAUGUGUUAGAAGGUUUUUUGUGAUGUUUCACAAGAUACUUCACUAGCUUAUUCGGAAUGUUGUACAUGGUGUUCUUUGGAUGUUUCAGCAUGUAUUUUGUGAUGUUUCACUGGGUAUUUUACUAGCUCAUUUGAAAUUUUAUACGUGGUAUUUUUUGGACAUUUCAGCAGAUGUUUCACUAGAUCAUUUAGGAUCUUGCACGUAUUGUUCUUUCAAUAUUUCAAUGUAUAUUUUGUAUUGUUUUAGAGGUCACAAAUCAAUGUCCCACUUAUAAUAAAAAUGUUUCAAUUAGUAAUAUAAUUACAUAUGUUUUAUUUCUCCAAAAUAUAAUCAUGUGAGAUCUCUUUGUAAAGAUUUAAUUGCAACAAAUUCAACGGUGCAAUUGAAUCACAAAUUGGAUAAGUAUUUCAUAAGAAAAAAUGGUUUAUAAUUUGCUAAUUAAGAGUAUGGGAGAAGAGACAAGGGGAUGGGAGAAGUUUGCAUGUACCUCACAUGUGGAAGAGAAGAAAUGACUGCGUGCAUGCAUGUGGAGGUUUCCCAGAAGAAAAGAUUGCAUGCAUGCUUAGGGGGCCCAAUUUUUUUCUCCAAAAAUCGGGCACCCGUUCCGUAGUGUCCUCCAUAAAAAUCUUCAAUCUCCAAACAACAUCAUGUAGUACCCUCGAUAGAAAAGAGAUGAACCAUACUUCAAACUUACCAUUGGUGUGAACUUAGCAUAGACACGAAACAUGAUGCACAAACUUCAAACUCGCUAUUGGAAUAAAAUCCUGAAUAUGCUGCCAUAAAUUUAUGUAACCCUAGUAGAAAUGCAAAACUCUAGUGCACAAGACAAAGUACUUGGAUCUCCCAAUAACCUACUGGUAUGUUGGGUAUGAUGGUAGCAAAAUUUGUCAGAAAAUUGGAUCACCUUGUGAUCUAGACAGGAGUGAGGCUCCCUCUCGUCGACUCAAAUAUUCUUCUUCUUUUUUCUGUGCUUUUCCUCUUAGGUAAAUACCCCACUUCAAAUAUUUACUUAUCAUAAUGAGAAUAUGUACUCAAUCUAGACGUGGUAGAUUAUCUUCAAACUCGUCAUAAGAAUUAAUCCUAAAUCUGCUCGCAGUACUACAUGAAUGCUCAUUGGUGCCGGUUCUUGAACCAACACACCUUCGUUUUUUAUUUUUCAGGUGCUAAAAAGUCGAAAAAAAUAUUUGGUAUUUUUAUUAGGCACCUAUACAAUCACACUCUCAUUCCCAAAAGUCACAUAAUUUUUGAAUCCAUAUUCAUACAAAUGUGUCAAGAAAAAUUCAAAUUCAAGACAUCUCACUUCACACAAAGUCACCUUGCCAUAUCACCUACAAACACUUCUUGUCUUGGAAACAAAUGCUAUUGUUUUGAGACCACUAUCAUUUGAACUUAUAAUCCAUAUUUAACACCAUAGAUAAGAUAAAAUGAAAAGUGUAGAAAAAUGUAGAUCUUAUCUAUAUCUACAACUUUUAUAUAGGUUUUGUGUCUAUCUGAUAUCGUUUAGAAAUUUUAAAUAUCCACUCAUGCAAAUAGGUUUGAGACAUUGUAACACAUUUUCGGACAUUCAAACAAACUUAAAUCGAAAAGUCAUCAACUACGAAGUUGUAGAUAUCGUCGAGCUCUACAAAUUUGAUAUAAACUUUAUCUUCAUCCGACUUUAUAUGAAAAAGAUAGAUAAAAAAAUACACAUAUAUAUGAGUUGUGUCAUCAUAGGUGCUGGUUUUAAUUGUAAACCAGCCGGCACAUAUGCGAUACACAUAUGUGCCGGUUCAUAAAAACCGUUACAUAUGAUACUGCCGUAGUUAUAGGUGCGAGUUUAUUAUAAGAACCAAUAUCUAUGUGAUGUUCAUAGGUAUCGGUUUAUUAUGAGAACCAGCAUAUAUGAUUUUUGAGGAAUAUUGGUACCGGAUUUUAUUAUAAACAUGUACCAACUAACUCAGUCAAUGAGUUGUUAUAGGUACCGGUUCUUAAUUUUACACUGAAAUAUGAUGGAAAAAAUGUUAUAGGUGUCGGUUUAAAGCAAAUCGGCAUGUAUAAGGUUAAGGUUGGUCUCUAUGGGGGUGUUUUGGAGUAGCUGUGUGGUAUAAAUUUGCUUGAACCAAAGCAGAAACACGAUAUACUCUGGGUGCAAUUCCUGUGUGCACAAAGCGUUGAUCAAGGAGUCUCCUGGUACAUAAGCUUGGGUGGACUUAGCAGUUUCAACGUGAAAUUGAAUUGGCAUGAUCAGUCAGAGCCGAUGCUUUACUCUGCACGUGCUGCUCGUCGCGAUUGCUGCUCGUCAAAUCGGAGUCGAUCAGUCGACUCCUCGUCGGCGUUUGAUGCGAAGCCAAAUCUCGCUAAACAAUUGACGACGAUGAUGAAGACGGCCGGCGGCCCGGAUGGGCCUAUUUGGUAUGGGAUUGGUCCAAAUCUAAAAUUUAGUUCUAGAGUUAUGUUUGGAUAAAGCCGUAGAGCAAUUUAAAUCCAACUCUAUCUUUCUUUCUAGUUUAUUUUGUGAAAUUAUUUUACUCAGUUUCGUUUUUAUUUUAGGUGGAGAUGAAACUGUUUAGUUAGGCUCUAACUCUAGUAGAGGUGGAGCUGAAAUUGUGCCAAAUAGACCCUUAGUAUAUCCAUCUCUAAAGUUCUAAUACCAUUUAUUAUAAAAAUAGAUGCACGACUAAUAUAUGACUUUUAUGUGAAAAACUCUUACCGGAAAAGCCUACAUGCAUAGAUCGGCAAUGAUUAAUAUAGAGGAGUUGGGUACAAACGUAUAGAAUACAUUGGGUUGUCGCAUACUUCUUGUGAGGUUUACAAGAGAUAUAUAAAGAAAAAUUCUAAGAGUCUUAGUAGAAGAAGAUUUAGAGACAUAUUAGAAAAUUAACCCUGAUAGUCAAGUUUUAUAUAUUAGAAAACUAAUCCAAAUAUGUUUCAUGCCAAAAUUUGUAGUAGAAGUAUCAUAUAUGUAACAUAUUUAACUAUACCUGCGGUAUAGCACUAUAGAACGUGUCUUUGCCAGGACACUUCGAUUACUUGGUAAUUUGCCAAAACAUUCCAUGAUCAUUAUUUCAACAUUUUACUCAUUUGGGCAGAUAAAAUUUUAAAAAGGUGCUUUUACGCCCUUUCGCAAAUUGAAAAUUUUGGAAUUUCAGCGCCUCACUUCCUAAAAGGACAUCUUUAAUUAGAAAAAAAAAAUUAAAUCUGAAAAAAAUCAAAAUAUAUUUUUAACUUUUUAAGUAUUUUAGUUUUCCAUGGACCCCGUAAACAUUUUCUUUAUUUUUGCAAUUUGGAUGUUUUUUAAUUUAAAAAAUGUUUAAGUUUACCAAAAAAUUAUUCAAAUUUCAAUUCUUUGUCCGAUAUUUUUUAGAAAAAUUCUAUCAAUCACCUCCAAAAUGUUUGGAGAUUUUCUGCAAUUUAGUAAAAGAUAAAACCAGGCUGAACAUCCAACUUGGCAUGAGGUAAUUUAAAACGUCAUCUCUGUAAUUGUAUCUAUCUAGUAGUUGAGCUGAAAAAUGUUAAAAUAUUAAAAUUAUGGUCAUUUUAGAAAACUACCAUGAAAGUGUCUCGUAGAAAAUACAUUAUUGUAUAAAAAUAACAAAUACAUACAUAUCUAAUAAUAUUUCGUCGAGCAUGUUAUGCCUUUUCGUACGAAAUAGUAUAUGUGCCAUGGAAAAACACGUGAGCAUUUGAGUACUUCAGACUUUCACUCGAAGAGAAAAUGUAUCAAAUGUUAAUUAAUUGUAUAUGUACGUACAUCCUAAUUUAAAAAAGUACAUGUCCUAUAUUGUAUAUUCAAGGUUUCAUUUUAUAAGAAGCAAAGGCUCUAAGAAUCUCCCACGAAUAAAAAAGAAGGCGCUAAGAAUCAAAUUUGGACGGCCAUAUAGUUAAUUAAUUAGCUUGCAGUUUGCCACAACCAGUAUAUAUAAGAAUUUAGGUGUUGUACAUACGUACCUUGAUGAUGUAGAUUUGCACCGAACUGAAAAUGACGUUAGUACGCAUGCAUUUUCUCCUAGAGUGUACCGGCUGGGCGGCUGGCAUUUAUAUAUACUAUGUAAAACUCCGCGUGUUGCUACUGAGUUAGCAUAAUAACAAGUGAAAACAAUGUGUAAGAUAGCUAGCUAGACAAUACAAGCUUACAUAAAUUGAUGCAUGUGAUUUAUGAUAAAUUAAAAUUAAAUAGUGUAUAGAAUGAUGAUUUAAAUGAUAAAUUAAAUUUAAAUAGUGUAUAGAAUGAUGAUUUAAAUGUAAAAGUAAAGGUGAUAUGGCUUUAUGAGAGAAGAAAAGGAGAGAGAUAUUUUGGACCAUAGAUUAUCUAAGACUAAAAAUAAUUGAUGUGAUAUGGCUUAAUGAGAGAAGAGAGAAAUAACAUUAACUAAGUGAGAAUGAACUAUAUAUAGAAUAUUAUAAAAAAGGAUGAAGAGAUAAAUUGAAAUAAUAUUUGAAUUAUGUGGGAUGAUGAUUUAACAUGCUUACAUUUUAAAAACUCUAAAAUUCAAUAAAUCAUAAAAUUACAAAUAAUACAGCAUGCUUCAUAAUGUUUAAAUGUAAUAAUUAUUAUUGAAUGAUGAUGUAGCAUAUUGUUAGAGGAUGAUGAUGUUGCAUCUUUUUAUUUCAACUACUCCCACAUUCCUUUAUAUAUAUUGUAAAAUUAACUGGGGCACUAUGGUGUCCAGGCACCAAGAUUUAAAUUGAGUACAUAUAUUCAAUUUAAAUGAGUAUGAAUUUUUUUAAAAAAAUGUUUAGAUAUGAUGGUUGUAAGGUGGUUUUCAGUCGGUUCAUCUGUAACCGUGAUCACCAUCUAAUAGGGCGCUGCCAUGUGCAAAGGGAAAGCUGGGGGACGGUAAGUCUGGUUCGGCUCCCACCGCCUCUAGCCAUCGACUUCAUCCAGUGAAUGACAGGUAGGCCUCUAUGGUGACUGAGGUUGGUUUGGCCCUACUUUAGAUCGGUUUCAACUGUCAUGUCAUGUGAGCCCUCCAAUCUUUUUACUCACGUAUGAUUGACCGGAGGUUCAUUUUAUGGCAUGACAUAUGUAUUUUUAUUCAUAAAUGACCUGCAUAAAUAUAUUUAUCAAAACUAGUGAAAAUGGUUAGCAAUAAACUCCUACCAUCAAGUUUUGAUAUAAUAUUUUAUAUUCUUUAUACAGGAGUUGACGGUUAAAGUUUACACUUAAUGACCGUCAACAAUAAGCGAUACCGUGGCAGUUUCGCGUAGCCGCGUGCUAACCUCGGUAUACCGGUAUUGCACUCCUACCCCGCGAUACCGAUGGAAUAUUUCUUCCAAACAAAUUUCAACCGGUAUAUUUCUUUCAAAAAAAAAUCAAUAUCAGUAUUCAUGCAAUUUUUGUUCAAAGCACUACUUUCGCUACAGUACAAUCUCUAAGGAACAGCCCCUACAUCAAGUGCCACUGUACUAUUGUCGUAUACUAUUUCUUUCUUUUCCACCGUUGACGUUUUAGAACGGAGGGAGUAUGUAUAUAUCGUCUGUACAUUAGAUUUGCUAUUUUGGUACUUUCAGUGUCCUUUUUCUGAGUACUAGCUGAAUAAUUUUGUGUUCGCUAUUGGAGGGUACACUAAGUUGAAAAAAGAAUUUAAAAUAGUUUUGUAAGAUGAUUUAAAAUAUAAGUAUUUAUAUGAUUAUUAACAAAACUAAGGCAGAGUGAAAAAAAUAUCUUUUAGUGGUUAAAUUUUAAAUUGUUUAUAUAUCCCUUUCAAGCAUCGGAUGAAAAUGUACAGAACGAUUUUUGUGCACUGGACUGAGUGUCCCAUAAAUACUUAUAUUGUGGCAUAAAUUUUUGAAUACUCAAAAUAUUUUGAAACAAAAGAAGUAUAUGGAAAGUGUGUACCAUUAAUCCAAUCUUUCAUAUGACUGUCAACGCCGUAAAUAUAUCUGUAAUAUUACUCUCAGUACAGUUAAUUAGCAUAUGGCCCUGAAAUUUUUCGGCCGAACCCGGCAAUUUUAUAUUUAUAUAUACCCUUGCCUUGAGCUUAGGCAUCAUGUAGCCUCGCCGCUCAAGCAUCGCUAACUCAGUUAUAGCUGUCUAACAAAGCAAAUUAGCUUUCGCUGAGCUUUGUGUUGCUUUUGGUCUCCUAGAUAGGUUUGUGAAGCAUGAAGCUCACGGUAGCAAUUGUCUGUGCCAUGGCGACCGCGCUUCUCGCCGCCGCCCCGUCGUCGGCGGAGGCCGGCGACGGCGAGCUGAAGGUGGGCUACUACGACAACAAAUGCAGCGGCAUCGAGGACAUCGUCAGGUCGCACGUCAUCAAGGCUAUCUGUCGAAACUAGAUUUCGGCAAUAAUAAAAGGGGGUGGCUAUCAAGCUAGGAAAGUGUAUGGGUUUGGAAACAAAGGAUUUAUACAGGUUCAGGCCUUCUUAUAAAAGAAGUAAUACCCUACUCCUGUCCGGGGAUGAAUCCGCCGAGUGUAUUAUUGAUUGUAUGAUUCGGGAAAAAAUCAGCAUAUGCCCCUAGAGGCGCCCGGACCCCCCUUAUAUAUGGGAAGGAGUCCGGAUUACAAAAGAUAAUCUAUAUUCCUAACGGAAUAUGAAGAUACAGAUAAAAUACAGUCGUAACCGACUAAGUCUCUGGGUGUUUCCUUGAUACACAAGUUAAGAAACAAACCCGAGAUACAGAUAAGAUAUUCUAUCUACAUUAGGUAUCCUGUACCCAGUUCGAAUACCAUCGCCGUGUAGAUAUGGGAUACCCAUAAUCUCCACAGUAGCCCCCGAGUCCUUUGCAGUCGACCAUCAUAGCCUUCUCAAAGAUGAUAAUCCGAGUACUUCAAACUCUUCAAGCCAAAAUCUGCCGAGUGGACUGUAAAGGGCGAAAAGAUAAAGAAUAUGGUGCAUCGAAUAGAUGCACCUAAUUAGGUGUAGCCCCCAACUAUGUGAUUAGUUAACAAACUAAACAUAUAGUUGAAAGACAAAAUAAUAACACAAUUGUGCAUUAUAUGACAAAAGCACACGCGGCGCCUAAAUAGGCAUGCUAGCCGACUGCUUUUUAGCCACAAUAAAAGAAAUCCGAGUGGUUUACACUCUAAAAAGUUCACGAAUGAACACACUUGACAGGCAUCCGAAUAUAAAAACUCUAAAGAUUACCCAUCAAGUAUUAUAAAGAUUAUGGUAAUAAAUAAGUCAAAUAGCCUAGGCCAUGACUAUUUACCAUGAAAACAGGCAUAUAAUACGCCAAGGAAAUGACUAUAAUAAAAACAAGUCAUCCCUAGUUAACCCAAACAGCUUUUGUAGCCUAAAAAAGCUUGCAAAAACAGCAUAACGCCUUUCUGUCGGGCACCUUUUUAAUUUGCAUUGCAAUAAUUCCAAAGAAUUAUAUGACCGCAUAAAAAGGAUUUCAUCAGCAUUGGGCAACACUGUUGUGCGCAUAAUAUUGCCAAAGCAAAAUAUGCCUAAGUCCCUAAGGAACACAAUGGGCCACGCUGUUAAAAGUAUUGGGCUGAAGUACUGUUCAGGCCUAGGCCCAUUAGCACCUCCGAUACCCUUAACUGAAAAAUCCGAUAUCCAAGCGACGCUUCGUCUUCCCCGCCGGAACUCUCGCCAUUUUCCCCACUCCCUGCUACAGUGUAAAGCUGCGCCGGCGAACUAGGGUUCACAGCUCCGGCCAAAUCCACCUCCGAAAAGUGCAUCAAAAUCCUUCCCGUGAUCCACCGCCUCAAUCCCUCACCUCUCCCAAGCCAUCCCUCGAAUCAAAUCAGCACAUUUGAGUGAAACCGAUGGCGGAAGAGAGAGAAAGCUUCGAAGGCCAAUGGGCGCCAUCCGACGUGACGGAGGAAAAUCUUAAGGAGAUGGUGGCGCACGGCGUUCUCCCUGCCAAGGAGAUCAUCGGGUGGCGGCCAGCGCACGGUGAGGUUUUCCCGUCUCCGGAUACUCAUGAGAUUGUGGUCUUCUCGCAUUUCUUCUACGGCGGCUUUGCUCUUCCGACCUCAAAAUUUUUCCGCGGGAUCUUGAAUUUCUAUGGAAUCAGCUUGCAUCACCUAAACCCGAAUUCCAUAGUGCAUAUCGCCAAUUUCAUCCAUGCUUGUGAAGCCUUUUUGGGGAUCAAACCUCACUUUGCCCUAUUCCGCCGGAUCUUCUUCCUCAAGCCCCAACCAAACAAGAACAAACCGUGUGUAGUCGGGGGGGCAGGAUUCCAACUAAGGGGAACUCUGAGCCAAAAAUAUUUCUCGAUGCCCUUCAAGACUUCGAACAAAGGCUGGCAUGCAAACUGGUUCUAUGUUCAGAAUCCCGAGCCUGCUCUUCCCGGGUACUCUUGUCUUCCUCCAGUGUACCAAGAUACUUGGAACUCUCUUCCAAUCGGAGAUGAAGCAGUACAAGCCUUGGAGUUGUUGGAUCGUAUGUUAAAUCUUAAAGAACAAGGCUUACAGGGAGAGCAGAUCACUCGGCACUUCAUCAAAUGCCGACUAGCGCCAAUCAAGGAAAGAUCCCGCACAGCAUUCGAGUUCGACGGCAAACAUGAUCCCAACCGUGAAGAACCAGAUUCCCUGGAUUUCAAAAUCAUGAAGGAGAGGAUGUAUAAAAUCUUCUCAAAUGCAAUUGUAGUCAGCUACUCUCAUCAACUGCCAGUUGUGCCAUAUAAUGCAUUCAAUCCGCCUCCACAGGUAUGCAUCGGAAACCCUCAAACCGUGAUCAGAACAUAAUUUUAUCUUCAUGCUGAGUUGACUAACUAUGGAAGCAUCUUGUUCAGGAAUAUGCAUUGAUGAAGUCAGAUCCACCAGUCACUCAGCGCCGGUCUCCUCGCCAACACACCGCUCAGGGAGGUGGAGGGCCAACGAUCAGACCAGAUCCGCAACCUCAGACCUCCAAAUUGACUGGUCAAACAGGUCCUCGCAAGAGAAAGCUGGUACUUGAUGAUGAUGAAGGCGACGAUGAUAAAUCUGGGGAUAAGGGCUCGCCUAAUAAACCCCCAAAGCGCACCAUGCCCAGGAAAAAACUGGCUGGCCGUGCGAUGCCAAAGAUCAGAACAUCUUCCAGGUAUUAGAUCUCUCGGUAUGAUUUCCGCUUCGGCAUGUUUUCCAAUGAAGAUAAUGCUAAAUACUGAAAGAACACUCUGCAGGAAACCAUCUGAUAUAGAUCCAUCUGGAAAGGACCCCGAUCCUGCCAUGACAGAGCAAAAUAUACCCAAGGACCCCGAGCCGACUGCUGAAAACCAGCCGACCGCUGAAAGCCAGCCAACUGGCGCCCAUGCUUCGGGCGAUAGGGCCGAUCCGAGUGACCUGCCGCCGACUAGAAAUCAGUCGGCAACAACUGAAACGGCAACAACUCAAGAGCCCCCGACUGGAAACCAGUCGGACGCAGGCCCUGAUCAAGAGAUCCCCGAAGUAGAAGCGCAGACGACGACUUCGCAAGGACCAGAGGCUGGUAACGACUCGAUAGCUGGGUCUUCAGGUAAAGAACAAAGAUCACCUCACGCUCAGCUAGGUACAUCUUCAGGUUAGUUGUCUUCUCAAACAAUGGCGAUUUAAAUAACCUCAGUGUAUCCGUCUAACGUCUUGGAAAUACAUCAGGACCAUCAGGUGAUGACGGAGAAGAAAUCCCUCGCAUAAAGGCGACCGACGACUCUCGUCCUCCUAUCUUGAUCAAAUGGUGGGACGAGAACUCACAAGCCGCCGGCAUAGUCAUAAACCGUCAAAAAGAAGAUGAAGAAGUGUGCCAGCUGAAGAAAGCGCUCGGAGAAGCCACUCGUAUUGUAAAUGUAAGUCUUCCGAGUGACGGCCUUCGGUAACUUUGUUUUCUUUUUAGCAGAACUGAACCAUGACCCAUCAUGCAGAGAAUCCAUCUUCGCAAUGAGGCCAAGACUACAACUUUGGAAAAGCUGGUUCCUCAUUUGGGAACUCUAGAAGCAGUUAGGGACCAGCUGCAUGAGGCCAAGGAGUGCGCCAAAAAGACAGAGAAAGAGUUAAGGGACCGAAUCGCCCAGCUCCAGGAUGCAAACUUCGAACUAAGUGGUUCAUCAAAAGGUAAUCAUCCAGAUCUGUUUCAUCGGUUUAAACUGGCAUAACGGUAUCCUCAACCAUCUGAAUUUCAAACAGCGCAAGCUGCCAGGAUGGAACAGAUGGUGAAGCAAAUUGAAGCCCUGGAGAGAGACAAGACAGAACUAGCUGCGCAAAGGGACUCAGCCUUGAAGGAAGUCGAAGGUAACGCCAGCUAACAAUCUGAGCUUCUCUCCUUAUAAUGCAACAGAUGCUCAUCAUAAAUGUGUUUUGCAGAACGCAAGAUCAAAUCUCAAGCUCAGUUUGACGUCCUGGUUGGUAAGAUCAAGAGGCUUGAAGGAGCAAGGGAUAACGUCGCCAAUGCCGCUGCACCAAUUAUCCAAGCCAUGUUCCUCAAUAAUGGUGGUCCGAGUGCACUCGACGCAACCGAAAUAUUUGACAAGCUGAGUGUUGCUCCGGAAGUAUAUUUCAAGAAUAUCAAGAAAGCUGGAAGUAUGGGAGCUGGCAUGGCCUUGGCGAUGACAAAAUCCUUGUACCCGAGAAUUGAAGUCGAUACCAUUGAUGGAUUUGCAGACGGGACAAGUGAAGAGGCUGCCCUUGAUCUUAUCAGCAAUGCUCAGAGUGCGGCUGACAAGAUUGCAAGUGAUGUUGUAGAACAAUUCCGCAACAAUGAUCUUCAGCCGAGCGAUGAUAACUCUGAUGAUGAAAGGACUGAUUCUGACUGAGUUUGAAUGUAAUACAUGGAGGCUCAAUUUGUACAAUACUGGUGUAUUUAUGCUGUGCUUGAUGAUUCUUGCGAAGUUUUUGAUUUCUUAAAAGUUUUUGCUAAGCUUUGUUGAGCCUAAAACCCAAAGAAGCUAUUAAAAACUUUCAGUCCUCGCAAACUAAGUAGAAAAACCAAACAAGGCAAUGAUAAACCGAGUAAGCAAACUGAAUUGAUAAAAAAUCACACUCCAUUAUUAUGAUGAUAGCCCCCGACUGACAACUUCAAGGAGAAAACUUGAUGUUUGACAGUCAAAAUAGGGAAAUACAAUGAUAAAGUUAAGCGUAGAAGCGACGAAGAUGUUCAAUGUUCCAAGAGUUGUCGACGAGAGUGCCGUCUUCGCGCUUGAGUCGAUAUGAACCUGGCCGGGUAACUUCAGAGAUAAUAAAUGGCCCUUCCCAUAGAGGAGAUAACUUGUGCCGAUCUCGUGUGGUUUGAAUUUUCCGUAAAACCAGGUCGCCGACUAGAAAGGCACGAGAUCGAACAUUGCGAUUAUGAUAACGUCGCAACCCUUGUAAGUACCGAGCUGACUGAAUCAAAGCUGCUUCGCGGACCUCUUCCAGUCGGUGCAAGUCGUCCACUCGGUCUUCUUCAUAGCGUUCUUCACGGAAAUUACGGAAGCGCAAAGAUUCGAACUCGACUUCACUCGGCAACAUUGCUUCUGCCCCGUAGACAAGGAAAAAAGGUGACUGGCCUGUGGCCCGACUGGGCGUAGUACGCAAAGACCAAAGUACUGAUGGUAACUGUGACACCCAUUUGCCGGCAUAGGGUUUAAGCCGGUCAAAAACUCGAGCUUUAAUCCCUUGAAGUAUCAUGCCAUUAGCUCGCUCCACCUGUCCAUUGCUCAUUGGGUGUGCUACUGAGGCAUAGCAAAUCUUGAUUCCAAAAUCUUCACAAAAGUCUUUGAAAACUCCGCCGGUGAAUUGUGUGCCAUUAUCGGUGAUGAUCCGAUUGGGUACUCCGAAUCUGUACACAAUGUUGAUGAAGAAAUCGCGAGCAUUAUCUGCUGUAAUCGUGGCAACAGGCUUAGCUUCGAUCCACUUGGAAAAUUUGUCAAUGGCCACAAAGAGGUGCGUGUAACCGCCGACUGCCUUUUUAAACGGGCCGACCAUGUCGAGCCCCCAAACCGCAAACGGCCAAGACAGCGGGAUAGUCUGCAACUCUUGAGCUGGUAGAUGAAUUUGUCUGGCAAAAAAUUGGCAACCUUCACAUGUGCGCACAAUUUUGUCGGCGUCGGACACUGCAGUAGGCCAGAAAAAACCCUGCCGGUAAGCUUUGCCAACAAUGGUACGCGCUGCAGCAUGGUUUCCGCAUAUCCCAGAAUGUAUGUCCUUCAACAAUUGUCUCCCUUCCUCUAAAGAUACGCAGCGUUGCAGAAUUCCUGAAGGGCUUUUCUUGUAUAACUCGGCUUCAUGCAUAACAUAAAGUUUGCUCCGCCUUGAAAUCCGCUCGGCUUCAUCUUUAUCUUGAGGGAGCUCUUGGGAAGUUAAAAAUCGUAUGAGGGGCUCUCGCCAGUCAGCUUCAACCAUAGCUAUGUCAUGAGUGUCCGCAACUUGAGUAGCAUCUUUGUGAGGUACUGUCGGCGAAUAAAGGUGUUCGACGAAAACAUCAGAUGGCGCUGCCUCGCGCUUGGAUCCAAAGUUGGCAAGUCUAUCGGCAGCUUCAUUGUUGUGUCGAAGAACAUGGCUGAGCUCAAGCCCGUCGAACUUAUCCUCCAGUUUGCGUACCUCUUGUCGAUAUGCCAUCAUGUUGUCGUCAAUGCAGGACCACUCUUUCAUAACUUGGUUGACAACCAGCUGUGAAUCACCUCGGACAAUUAGACGCUUUAUCCCUAGGGAAAUUGCAAUCCGUAGCCCAUGAAGGAGCGCCUCGUACUCGGCGACGUUGUGAGACGCCGAAAAAUGUAUCCAAAGCACAUAACUUAGUCUUUCUCCAGUUGGGGAAAUCAGAACCACUCCAGCUCCAGUGCCUGAAAGUCUUUUUGACCCGUCAAAAUGCAUGGUCCAGUGCUCUAUUUUCUCCACGGGGGUAUCCUCUUGGCACUCGGUCCACUCGGCGACAAAAUCAGCUAACGCUUGAGACUUGAUUGAAGUGCGGGGCUUGAAUGAUAUGUCCAAAGACAUCAACUCCAAAGCCCACUUAGCAAUCCGCCCAUUUGCUUCGCGGUUGUGCAGUACAUCGCCGAGUGGAAAUGAUGUGACCACCGUUACCGAGUGACCUUGAAAGUAAUGAGACAGCUUCCUGGUAGUAAUUAAAAUACCAUAUAACAGCUUCUGAACCUGAGGGUACCUCGUUUUGGAGUCGGUUAGGACCUCGCUGACGAAGUAGAUUGGUCGCUGAACUUUCUGGACAUGGCCUUCUUCCUCACGCUCGACAACCAAGACUGUGCUCACGACCUGGGAGGUGGCUGAUACAUACAGCAACAACGGCUCCUGCGGGUGUGGUGAAGCUAAGACCGGUGGCUUGGUGAGGAGUUGUUUGAAAUCUUCGAAAGCCUUCUGUGCUUCGGGUCCCCAUUGGAAAUUAUCUGUUUUCUUCAGUAGCUUGAAGAAGGGCAUCCCCCGCUCGCCAAGUCUUGAAACGAAUCGGCUGAGCGCCGCCAUGCAUCCAGUCAGCUUCUGAACGUCUUUCUGGGUGCUUGGCGGUUUCAUGUUGAGGAUAGCAGUAACUUUCUCCGGGUUGGCUUGGAUGCCCCUAUGAGACACCAUAAAACCAAGCAGCUUCCCUGACGGUACUCCGAAGGUGCACUUUUCAGGAUUCAAUUUCAUCCUGAAAGCACGGAUGCUUGCAAAGGUUUCUUCUAGAUCCGAGAUCAAAUCAUCCUUUUGCUUGGUCUUGACGACUACGUCAUCCACAUAGGCUUCAACGUUGCGGCCGAUCUGCGUUGAGAAGCAUCUUUGGAUCAUACGUUGAUAAGUUGCUCCUGCGUUUUUUAAUCCAAACGGCAUGGUGACGUAGCAGUAUGCCCCAAAAGGCGUGAUGAAUGAAGUCUUCAAGCAGUCGGAUUCCUUCAGUCGGAUCUGAUGAUACCCCGAGUAGCAAUCCAGAAAACUGAGAAGUUCGCAGCCGGCGGUUGAGUCAACUACCUGGUCAAUGCGAGGCAACCCGAAAGGAUCUUUUGGGAAAGAUUUGUUAAGGUCAGUGUAAUCGACACACAUGCGCCAUUGCCCUGUCUUUUUCCGAACCAGGACUGGGUUAGCCAGCCAGUCGGGAUGAAGGACUUCUUUGAUGAAGCCUGCUGCUAACAGCUUGGUCAAUUCCUCCUUGAUCGCGUCCUUCCUGUCUUGUGCAAAUCGGCGGAGUCGUUGUUUAAUAGGCUUGGCGUCUUCUUUGACAUGUAAGGAGUGCUCAAUCACCUCUCUGGGAAUACCGGGCAUAUCCGAAGGUUUCCACGCAAAGAUAUCUUUAUUAUUUUGAAGAAAGGUGAUGAGCGCGCUUUCCUAUUUACAAUCUAACUCGGCGCCUAUUACAGCAGUUUUGGUAGGAUCGGAAGGAUCUAAGGGAAUCUUUUUAGUCUCGGCUUCGGUUUCCCCACUUUUUGAAAUCUUGGCAGCUGGCACUUCUCCUUCGCUCACCGUGGUUGCAGCCAGUCGGAUUUCCUCUCGGGCAGACGCCAUCUCGCGGGUUUGGGCCAUAUCACAACUCUCCUUGUCACAUGUGACAGCUUGCUUGAUGUCGCUCCGUAGGGUUAGGACUCCUCGGGGACCAGGCAUCUUCAUCAUCAUGUAUGUGUAGUGCGGGACGGCCAUGAACUUGGCUAACGCCGGGCGUCCGAGUAUGGCAUGGUAUGCUGUCUCGAAAUCGGCAACUUCAAAGCUGAUAUUCUCUGUGCGGAAGUUUUCCCGAGUGCCAAAAGUGACCGGGAGAGUGAUCUGGCCGAGUGGAGUUGCGGAUAAUCCUGGAAUUACUCCAUGAAAAGGCGCAUUGCUUGGUUUUAACUCGGAGCGAGGGAUCUGCAUAUCAUCCAAAGUCUUGGCGAAGAGGAUAUUGAGUGCACUGCCACCAUCAAUGAGGGUUCUGCGAAGCUUGACAUUACGGACCACUGGGUCUAGUACCAGGGGGUACCGCCCCGGGUGGACCACUCGGUCAGGAUGAUCCGAGCGGUCAAACUUGAUUGCAAUCUCUGACCAUCGAAGAUACUGGGGUGUGUCGGGCUGAACAGCAUUGAUCUCCCGUUCGGUCAGCUUUUGCUUCCUUUUAGACUCAUAAGCCAUGGGGCCGCCGAAAAUAUGAUUGAGCUCCUUACGGUGGUCUUGAAAUCCAGCCGGGGUGUCGCCGUCGUCCUUCUUCCUUGACGUGCUUUGUUCCUCGUCGGAGUUCUUCCGAGUAGACUUGGUGUACUGCUCCGCGAACUGCUUGUAGAUGAAGCAUUCUUUGGCCACGUGGUUGGAGUUUGGAUGAUGCGGGCAUUGGGAGUUCAUGAUCUUGUCGAAGGUGUUGACGCGCGAACGCUGUCGAGAAGAGUGAGCGGCGGUUGCAACAAGUUCCUCAGGCUUGCGCUUGCGGUCCUUAUGAUUGUUACUUCCACCUCCUCCCGUAGCCGGCGUAUUUUUCGGCUUCCAACUGGGACCCGACUGCUUCGAUGCGGUGACGGCGUCUUCGGCUUUGGCGUACUCGUUGGCUUUUUCAAACAUGAGCUUGACUGUUCUGGGAGGUUUGCGCCCGAAUUUGCCGACCAAUUCUUCGUGGCGAAUCCCUUUGGUGAAUGCGGCGAUGAUGACGUCGUCGGUGAUGUCGGAGAUCUUGUUACGUUGUUCAGAAAAUCGCCGGAUGUAAUCUCGAAGAGAUUCUCCGGACUUCUGAAUGACGUUGUAAAGAUCAUAUUGUGUGCCGGGACGCUCGAAGGUGCCUUGGAAGUUGGCGAUGAAGUGGUCGCGUAGUUCGGCCCAAGAUCCAAUUGUACCACGGGGCAAUCCAUGGAGCCAAGAUCGGGCGGAAUCCGCUAAAGCCACUGGUAAAUAGUUCGCCAUGGCCUUGUUGUCUCCUCCUGCUGCGCGGAUUGCGAGACCGUAGACGGUAAGCCACGAUUCGGGGUUAGUGGUGCCGUCAUACUUCUCUAUUCCAGUCGGUUUGAAGCCGGCUGGCCAAUCCACUCGACGCAGGUCGUCGGUGAAGGCUGCAACUCCGUCAAGGUCGUCGUCGCGGCGAUCCGGCGAGUGAUGAUAGCCUCGAGCUGCUCGGCGCUGCGUGAUUGUGUCGCGAAGAUCGAUGGGGCGGCGACGAGGUGGUGAGCGAGGCCGUUCCACUCGGCGCUCCCUAUGAAGUUCGGGAGGCGAGUGAACAGACCGCUCGUCGUGGCCCCUGCUCCUGCGAUUGGAUCCUGCUCCAGUAAUGCUGAGGCUUGGAUGACGGUAGUCAUGAGAUCGGAAGUGGGGGACCCGGCUGCCAGUCGGCGUGUGGACGCUUUCGGAGUUAACUGGGACCGUCGCCGCAAUCAUGGUCUUCGUCUGGUUCAAGAUGUUGACGACGUGGUCGGAUUGAUUGAGCUCGUUUUGGUUGAGGAGGGUGUCGAGAAGGGUGAUCGCGGCAACCGCAUUCUGUUGAGGGGUGCGGAAAACCGGUGUCCCUUCGACAUCUUGCUGGCCGAUGAGAUCACGCGCUCGGCGCCCUGCUUCCAAAGCUCGUUGACGUCGAUCCUCAGCCUCCUUCGCGGUCCGCUCACGGUCCUGCUGCUCACGCCGUAGCCGUUCUUGUUCUUGCGCUUGAUGCUCCUCCUCCAGUCGGCGACGUUCUUCGUUCUCCCUGGCUUGGCGUUGCUCCUCCGUCUCAUUAUUGGCCAUGAAAACGCCAAAGUAGAGAGGGGUGUAGUUGUCAUCUAGGCUUCCGUCGAAGUCGUCGAAGUCGUCGAAGUCGUUGUAGCGAGAACUAAAUUCGUCGUACUCCACGAUGUCAGUAGGACGUGAGUCGACGGUGGGAGAGCUGUUGUAGUCAUCCAGCUGAUCCGUCGAAACCGUGCCGAGUGGUUGGAGGAUGACGCCGACUUCCCUGAAGCUAGGCGAAAUCGGUGUUGAAGCCGACUUCCGCCUAGGCCUACGGGAUGAAGGCGCUGUCGUGGUGAAGACGGCCGCUAAAUCGUCGGGGAGCUUCAUCAGGACCGGUGGGUAAGCCCCAUCAUCCUGAUCUGGUAUCGUUGGAGAAGAUGCGAUCUCGGCCGAGUGGUUUGAAGCCGACUCGGUUGAGGUGGUCUUGAAAUAGCUUUCAGCCGCGUUCGGGAAUCCAAACGGGACCGAAAGCCGGUUCUCUCCCGACUGGUCUGAUUCCGAGUCGAGGAGAGAAAUCUUGCCGAAGUUGUUGGUGAUGAAGUCGAGGCUGCCGAACCGAAACGUCUGCCCGGGUGGGAAGACGAGGUCGUCGAUGCCGGAGAUGGAACCCAUUGCACUGAUCGGCGAAAAAGCUUGACGCUACCCCUACCUGGCGCGCCAACUGUCGAAACUAGAUUUCGGCAAUAAUAAAAGGGGGUGGCUAUCAAGCUAGGAAAGUGUAUGGGUUUGGAAACAAAGGAUUUAUACAGGUUCAGGCCUUCUUAUAAAAGAAGUAAUACCCUACUCCUGUCCGGGGAUGAAUCCGCCGAGUGUAUUAUUGAUUGUAUGAUUCGGGAAAAAAUCAGCAUAUGCCCCUAGAGGCGCCCGGACCCCCCUUAUAUAUGGGAAGGAGUCCGGAUUACAAAAGAUAAUCUAUAUUCCUAACGGAAUAUGAAGAUACAGAUAAAAUACAGUCGUAACCGACUAAGUCUCUGGGUGUUUCCUUGAUACACAAGUUAAGAAACAAACCCGAGAUACAGAUAAGAUAUUCUAUCUACAUUAGGUAUCCUGUACCCAGUUCGAAUACCAUCGCCGUGUAGAUAUGGGAUACCCAUAAUCUCCACACUAUCAUACAGGACCGCGGCAUAGGCGGCUCCCUCAUCCGUCUCAUCUUCCAUGAUUGUUUUGUCAGGGUAUAUUUUGUUUCUUCCUCCGUUUAAUAAUGUAAGUCAUUCUAUCAUUUCUCACAUUCAUAUUAAUGUUAAUGAAUCUAGAUAUAUACAUUUCCUAUCUAGAUUCAUUAACAUCAAUAUGAAUAUGGGAAAUGAUAGAAUGACUUACAUUGUGUAACGGAGUGAGUACAUAUCGGUACUUCAUCUAUUUCAUAUUAUAAAUUGUUUCGGGUUUUAAAUGGAUUUAUGAGUGAAUUCAUUUAUAUUACCUCUAUUUCUCAUUAUAAGUCAUUCUAUUUUUUUUCCUAGUCAAACUUUCAAUUUAUAGAAAAAUAUAGUAACUUUUUCAGCACAAAGAAAAUAUUAUAUUAUCAAAAUGUAUUAAAUGUUAAUCUUAAUGAUAUUAAUUUGGUGUUGUAAAUGUUGCUAAAAUUUUUCAUAAACUUAAUCAAACUUAAAAAGGUUUGAAAAAAAAUUAAAAUGAGUUAUAAUACUCUCUCCAUCAUAUUCCAAAUCUAAAAAAUUUACUUUUGAUAGGCAUAUUUCAAUCCAACCACCUAUUCUUUUAAUGACUUUCUUGGAUUUCAUGGGGGUGGCUAAUUGGCGCGCGCCCGCCUGUUGGCCCCGGCCCGGAAGCCCAUCAGGCUUCUUUUUUUCUUUUUUUUCGCAAGAUUUUUUUGCGAUUUUUUUGCCUUUUUCUUUUAUCUUUUUUUUCGCUUUUGUCUUAUUACUUUUUUAAUCUUUAGCACACAUAUUUUUUCAAAAAAUGUUUUGAGUUGAAAAUUUUUAAAUCUUUAACUUGAAAAUUUUAAAUUUUGAUUUGAAAGUUAUCAAAUCUUAAGUUGAAAGUUUUCGAAUCUGAGUUGAAAGUUUUUAAUCUCAAGUUGAAAACUUUUAAAUCUGAGUUGAAAGUUUUCAAAUCAGAGUUGAAAGUUUUCAAGUCGAAGUUGAAAGUUUUCAAAUCAGAGUUGAAAGUUUUCAAAUCUGGGUUGAAAAUUUUUCAAAUUUAAGAUGAAAAGUUGAAAGUUCCAAAAUUUGACUUUAAAAAAUUUAAAUUUUGAGUUAAAAGUUUUUAAAUCUGGGUUGAAAAUUUUCAAAUCUAGAUUGAAAGUUUCAAAUUUUGAGUGGAAAGUUUUUAAAUUUGAGAUGAAAGUUUUCAAAUAUGGAUUGAAAACGUUUCAAAUUUGAAUUGAAAGUAUUCAAAUAUCAGUUAAAAGUUUAAAAUUUUGAGUUCAAAGUAAUAACACAAAAAUAGAAAAUAACUAAAAAAACAAAACGUGAAAAAAAAGGGAAAAAGAUGUGGGCCUAACAGAAAAAACACAAACGACGAGUCCUUUCUCAAUAAAAAAAGUGCGCGCUAUUUGCUUAACUCGCGCAGCUUUUCCGGAAUUUAAUGCGUGACUCUCCAUUCUUCCACGCAAUAUUGGCUAUAUAGGCAUCGAGAAAUGUAAAUAUAUUAAUAAAUCGCUUGUUUACGAGAAAUAACUAGUAGCAUAUUUAAAUGGAUGAUAAGUAAAAUUACUUAUCUUUGAUCGGUGUAUUAAGAUAAAAUAUAACUAUAAAAAGUAAUGAAGGGAGUACGAAACAGAGGACCAAAACAACUUAUAUAGUGAAAAGGAGUAGUAGUUUUGAAGCACUAAGGAGGUACUAGUAGCUUUGAAGCACUUGGGACUAAUGAGUGGUUGCACAAUGCAUGCAUGCAUGCAUGAGUAUUGCAGGGUUGCGAUGGUUCCGUCCUCCUUAACGCGUCCGACGAGAACCCUCGUCCUGAGACGGCAGCGCCGGUGAGCAUCGGGCUGGAAGGAUUCGACAUCCUGGAGGAGAUCAAGGCCGAUCUCGAGAGGAGGUGCCCCGGCGUGGUCUCCUGCGCCGACAUCCUCAUCUUCGCCGCCCGCGACGCCAGCAGCAUCCUCAGCAACGGCCGCGUCCGCUUCGACGUCCCCGCGGGCCGCCUCGACGGCGUCGUCUCCUCCGCCUACGAGGCCCAGGCGGAGCUCCCGGAUCCCACCUUCACCAUCCGGCAGCUCAUCGACAACUUCGCCCGCAAGAACUUCACCGUCGAGGAGCUCGUCGUCCUCUCCGGCGCGCACUCCGUCGGCGACGGCCACUGCUCCUCCUUCACCGCCCGCCUCGCCGCGCCGCCCGACCAGAUCACCCCGUCCUACCGCAACCUGCUCAACUACAGGUGCUCCCGCGGCGGCGGCGCCGACCCUGCGGUGGUGAACAACGCCCGCGACGAGGACCUCGCCACCGUGGCGAGGUUCAUGCCGGCGUUCGUCGGCAAGCUGCGGCCGGUCAGCGCCCUGGACAACACCUACUACCGCAACAACCUCGACAAGGUGGUCAACUUCAACUCGGACUGGCAGCUGCUGACGCAGGACGAGGCGCGCGGCCACGUCCGCGAGUACGCCGACAACGCCGCCCUCUGGGACCACGACUUCGCCGCCUCGCUGCUCAAGCUCAGCAAGCUGCCCAUGCCGGUGGGGAGCAAGGGGGAGAUCAGGAACAAGUGCGGCGCCAUCAACCACAGCAAGAGCUAAUUCGGCCACUUAUGCAGGGGGUUACGUACAUGCAUGCAGACGAUGUGGUCGUAGCCAUAUGUUUUCUUGUUAUAUCUCAUCGUUCUAAAAUACAGAAAACCUUGUACUCGAAAAAAAAAGACUACUCCAGUAUAAUAUAAAGUAUUUGUAUUUGUGGUUACCCAUAUAUUUACCUGUUAUGAAUUGUUACUACCUUCGUCCCUGAUUUUGCAUCUGUUAGUGCAUAGACUAAAUCCCAUACAUAUUUAGUACUCGUGGAUUGUCAUGUAACUGGGCUGAAUCGGUAUACAUAUUGAGCCCAUGGCUAGCUAGGCUCAAUCCGCUGCGAUAAGCCAAUCAUUCAAGCCGUUACAAAAGGAGCAGAUCCAACAGAUGGGAGGAUCGAACAAAAUAGAUGAAACCUGAGUUCUUCCUUCCGAUGCUCUCUCUUCUUCAACCUCUGUAUCUCUCUUCUCUUCAAUCCCUGGCUAUCUCUUCUUCUCCAAUCUACUGCUAAUUCUCAGUCUUGAUUCCAUUUCUCCCAUUUGUAUCCCCAAAUACUCGUGUAUCAAGUGUUGGAGGAAGAAUUGUGUGCUUGUGCUGGAAUUCACUAAAUCACAUAGAGUGGGUUCGUAACAAUAUGGUAUUAAAGCCAACAAUCCAUGGGUUCCAAGCCAGGAGAUGAGAUGGAUGACAUACGUGGCAGCCGCGACUUCCAUAGACUGGAUCUAAGAAUUUGGGGUGGUUGCACUUGAGGCGUCUAAGAACACACAUGAACAUCUAAGAACACAAGAACACAACAUGAAUAUCUAAGAACACACAUGAACAUCAAGAACACAAGAUGAACACACAUAAACAAACCAGCAUCUAUAGUAUAGUUGUCGGACUUUUUUCAAAAUCGGCACUUAUAAAUACUUAAAGGUGCCAAUUUUUCCCUUUAGCGCCCCCCGCGGGCGCUCCGGUGGGUGGGAAAAGCAUAAUAGGUGCCGGUUUUAGUUAUUCCGGCACCUAUAAUACUGACUUUUAUGUGUCUUUUUGUAGUACUGAUUUGCAGUUGACAUGAUUAUCAUCGAACACUUAUGGGAGAAAAAAAUAAAUUUGUUCUAGCCAAAUCAAUAGAGAGUGCAGAUGAGAACUUUUGAAAAAUGGGGUCCAAAAACAUGUUGAAACACAUUUGUUUAGAUCCAUGCAUGUACAUGGAAAUUUUCGGGGUUGCUAGUCUAUUGGUCGCUCGCUUUGCACCUGCCAAUUGAUAGGCCCAGUAGUUGACGUGAUCUGACACACGGCUGGGAUGAACGUAGGUUAGCUGCUUCCCAACCAGUCAACAGGACCUCUUAAACAAAAGGGAAGUCAAAUAAGAAAAUGUUUAAUUAAUCUAGCCUGGUUCGGAUGCUAGAUAACAGUAAUGGAGUGAUUAAAUAUUGAUGAGACCACUAUAAUCUCGAUUAUAUUUGAGCUAGCGAACAUGCCUGCUAUAGUUCCCUCAAAAUCCUAAAGAUAUGUAUGGCGUUAGCGUCCUUUCCAGUGGAUACGCUUAACACAAGCUUUUGACGUGAAAGUUAAUUAAUUUACUACUGUACAUGGAAAGAAAUUCUACAAAUACAUCGCUCUUAGGUAACAGCAUUUGAAUUGAAAUAAAGAUACAUGUUGUCAAAUCGACCAAAUAAACUGACCUCCUUCAUAGGGGCGGAACUAGCCACCGGGCGGCUGCUUGGGCUCGUUAGCGAAAACUACACAAAAUUUUAAUAUUAAUGAGUAAAUAGAUGAUGAAAUUUCUAUAGCAAAUAUCAGUUAUAUUGAAAUUUGUCUGGGCUCAAAAAUCUUUCUAGCUCCGCCAUGCAUCCUUCCAUCAAAUACUGUGCUUCGGUUGACACAUGCAUGAUGCAUCUGGACGGCCAAUUAAUUUACUCUAUAUAGCUCCAGCCGAAUUUAAAUUAAGUUCACCGUCACAACGCCAGGUAUGGAUCGAUGUCAACGCCUACACGUUUUAUCAGUUACUAGCUGUUUUGCUCCCCAUGUUGUUAGACAACAAGAACUGGCAAAUAACUAUUCUGAUGAUUGCUCUCCAAAUAUUCCUCAAAUCUCUUAUUUAAUCAAUCUCCUCAUUCAAAAGGAGUAGCUCAAUUAUCAAUGAUCAAUUUGCACAUCCAUUUGUACCUAUAAAUACAUCGAAUGUUUGCCUGUCACAUCAUCAAACAUCAACCAAUCCUUUGAGGUAGCGAUCACUACACAUAUAUUCAUUCGGUUUCAGGCGUUUCUUUGCUGUCUCCUAGUGAACAACCUUGUCAGAAUUCAGAAUGUUCAGCAGGGGGAUGAAGCUAAUUCUCAUGGUAGCCUUCCAGGCUAUGAGCCUCAUCUCCAUAUCAACUGCAAGUCUGCAGUACAAUUUCUACGGCUCGUCGUGCCCAAAUGCCGAGCAGACGAUCAGCAAUGUCGUCUACGGCUUGAUCGAUGCUGACCCUUCCAUGGCCCCGGCGCUGCUGCGUUUGCAUUUCCAUGAUUGCUUUGUCAUGGUAAUGUAAUUGCUAACCACAAGUUAAUUUAGUUUUUCAACUAUGAAUUGAUAGCAGUUUUAAUUUCUCACAAGAUAUAUUACUGCAAGCAAAGCUUAGAUAUUGAUGGUUAAUUACUUCAUUUUGUCCCCAAAAAAAAUGUAAACGAAGUUUUUUUUUUUUUGUUUUUUGAUCAUGCAGGGUUGUGAUGCGUCCAUCCUUCUUGAUCCCACGAAGGCAAACGGCUCGCCGGAGAAGACAGCGAUCCCGCUCCGCGGGUACGACGCCGUGAACAAGAUCAAGGCGGCCGUCGAGGCCGUCUGCCCCGGCAAGGUCUCCUGCGCCGACAUCCUCGCCUUCGCCGCCCGCGACUCGGUGGCCAAGUCCGGCGGCUUCGUCUACCCGGUCCCCGCCGGCAGCCGCGACGGCAACGUGUCGUCCGCCUUCUCCGUCUUCUCCAGCAUCCCGUCGCCGUUCUUCGACGCCGGGGAGCUCGUCCAGAGCUUCGCCGCCAAGGGGCUCACCGUCGACGACCUGGUGGCGCUCUCGGGUGCGCACUCCAUCGGCACCGCGCACUGCUCCGGGUUCAAGAACCGGCUGUACCCGACGGUGGACGCGUCCCUGGACGCGAGCUACGCGGCGGCGCUGAGGGCGGCGUGCCCUGACGGCAGCGCCGCCGACGACGGCGUGGUGAACAACAGCCCCGUGUCGCCGGCGACGCUGGGCAACCAGUACUUCAAGAACGCGCUCGCCGGGCGGGUGCUGUUCACGUCGGACGCGGCGCUGCUGACCGGCCAGAACGACACGGCGGAGAAGGUCAGGGAGAACGCCGGCGACCUGACCGCGUGGAUGGCGCGGUUUGCGGCGUCGAUGGUGAAGAUGGGCGGCAUCGAGGUGCUCACCGGGGCGCGGGGGGAGGUCAGGAGGUUCUGCAACGUCACCAACAGCUAAAAAGCUAUACUGGCUGGCUCGAGUGAAGAACGCACUUGUGCCAUUGGUGUGCGUGCCGUUUUUGCUUAGUGGCAAGUUUGCACCUUGUGCUAAUUAAACGUUUUUGUUCUCCAAUCUACACCAUGCACACACACCAUUCAUGUUGCAAUUUUUUAUUGCCACCUUGUUCUAUAAGAGGAGGAAAAUUAACCACCUUAAUUUGUUAUUCACUCUGGUUAUAGUAUUUUGGUUGUAUGGCUCAUGUAAAAGAUUUGGGGCUUUUUUUUUUAGAAUUACACAGUGCAAUGUAGAUACUCACAACGCACACGCACUCACAUCUAUGAAUACACGCACGCAAACCCUACCCCUAUAAGCAUCUUCGAAAACUGGGCCGGCAAAUCCUUGAGAUUGACGAAGUCACCAUAGGCACCUCGUUGUCGACGGAUAUGUCGCCUACCACUAAAAGCACAACGCCGUUAUAUCUUAGAAAAUCCGCUCCCAUGGGGAGUCGAACCCAAGACCUCAGGUGCUACUGAGGCUCUUGUAACCACUAAGCGAAAACGCCGUUAUUAUUAUUAUUUUUGGAGAAUUUGUGAUUUGGAUCUGAGAUUUGUGUGUGAUGUGAAUAUGUGAUGCAUUUGUGAUGAAUUUUGUAGAAGUUGUGAUGUAAUUUUUUUUAAGAUUUUAUGAUGUAUUUGGAGAUGAUCGAUUUGAGGAUUUGGAGGCAAUUCGGGGAUGAUUGAUUUGGGAUUUUUGGGAUGGGAUGGAGUGAAAUCAAUAUAUUAAAAACAACAAUGAAGAAAAGAAAAGAAUAAAGGAGCAACUGAAUCUAACCUCUUUAGUCCCGGUUGGUAACACCAAUCGGGACUAAAGAUAGCCGGGACUAAAGAUAGCGAUCUUUAGUCCCGGAUUCGUAGUCCCGGUUAAAAAAUCAGGUCUACAAAAGGUUACGAAUCAGGACUAAAAAGCACUUCUCUACUAGUGUGCAAAUGUGUGAGCCCCCAUUGACCAAGUGUAGGAGCAAACCCUCUAAAAGUGUCCAGCCUCUCUGGCCUUGAUCAGUCAAUUGAUCGACAUCGGUUUGUCGUUUCGCAAAUGGUAGAAAUGAUGAUGGGUUUUUGAUACUGAAUUGAGUCUCUGAGCGAAUUCUGAUGAGUAGGAAAAGCAUCUUCAUAAUGAAGGUCCUAAAUCUCGUAUGUGAAUUCCUGUUGAUAAAGAAAAUGAUGGUUCACUUGGAACUAUACUUGUGCAAAAGAAUCCUAUUCUUUUUUUUUGGUGCCCUUAUGGUGUAUAUGUUGUGAUAGUAAACAAAGAAAGGAGGUGUUUUGUUUUCGGAAAUGGUGGAAAAGGAACUUUUGCUCAUCUCAAGUUCCCUUUCUAGCUGGCCAUUUUGCGGAGGGGGAAAAACCAACUUUCCCUGUAAAACAGUGUGCUUUGAUCCUUCUAUGUUAUUCGUUUUGUUCGUGAAAUUCUUUCGAGGUUGCUGACAUUUUUGUGUUUUCCACAUGGAACAAAGAUCUGCCACCAAGAAUACAGCAGGCCAACAUGCAUCUUUCUGGGUGUUCAAGCAGGAUUGUCCUUGUUGACAUCAGAAUUGACGAUGGUAUUUUCAGCCUCUUCUCUUUUCGAUAUUUAAUAUGAGAUCUGAGCCUGAGAAAUUUCAGCCAUAAAUGCUGCAUGUUUUGCACAUGCUUUGUUCUGAUUGUAAUAUCUGGCAAUUUCAGAUUUUUGGGAUAGCACUUGGAUUCAAUCUUCUAUUUGAAUAUGAUGAUCUCAUCACUGGGAUAUGUUUUGCAACCGUUGUUCCUAAUCUGCUACCAUAUGCUAUAUCACACCUGGUAAAGAAGAAGAUUAUCUCAUAUAGAAAACUUCAAACCUAUAUUGUAAUCUGAUUUGGAGUUAAUAUUUGUCAAUUACUUUCAUAUACCUAUUCUAGGGAAAGAAGAUGGUGGGGACAUUAAAUGCUUGCAUUGCAGGCUUUGCGCUUCUUUGCUACGUUCUUGGUUUAUUGGUCAGCCAACCACAAAUUCCUCUGACAACGAAUGUAAUUUUCCCCAAGCUCAGUGGUGAAAGUGCUUAUUCUCUGAUGGCUCUUCUUGGUGCAAACGUAAUGGCACACAACUUUUACAUCCAUUCAUCAGUUGUUCAGGUAAAUUAUGAUGCUUCUUUGUGCCCAUUACAUAGUUAGAAUUAUAUUUGAUUUGAUGCAUUUGGGGUGAGGGGGGUUUGGGCAUUUGGUGGACAAUGGUCAAUGGCAUGCCACAAUUAUUUACACCACACAAUGACACAUGUUGCUAGCUUUGCUAGUGUUUCGAACAGUUCAGAAAUUCCAAACUGAUAGCAAGGGUCACUAUAUUAGACUAGUUAUACCAGUCUAAUAUCGGAUGUAGUGGAGAAUGUUUUUGUUCUAAUAGAUCCAGUGGUUUGUGGGUACGCUGUAUCCAACUGAAAAAGAUAUGGUUUGUCCUAUUUCAAUUGUUUGCGCAGAGUUGAAGUGAUGUUCAUUGACUUAAUUUCAAAACACCAAGAUACAUCUUCUAGCGAAUUGCAGCAUUAUGUUAGGCAUGCUCAUCGUUAGUUAGUGAAAGAAUUUGUUCUCACUUAAUCCAGUUUGGAGCUUAACUAACAAUUAUGGCCAAUGAAACUAUAGUAUUUAAUAAGCUAUUGUGCCACAUGCGGAAUACUAUUUCUGAUUGACAAGCACAAAUCUAGAAUGUUCCUUGAGUAAAUGUUUGUUCCCUAAAACUGUGGCCUAUUUCUAUUUGUUUUCUUUUUUACUUUCGCGUGUACAUAUUUUGGUUCACUAAUGGUAAAUGUCUAGUGUUCAUGAGGUCUUUGCCUUAGGUUUGCUAGUAUAUGAUAUAUAUAUUACCUAAAGUGUAUAAAAAUGGAUAGCAUUAGUGAGUUUGACAGCAAAACCAGCUACAUUUCAUUGCCCUUUGUGUCUUAUGCUUUUGGUUGUCUUUUUUUUUCAGCUUGUAUCCAUGUUUGCUAAUCAAAUAAUCUCUUUUCAGGGUCAGAAAAGAUCUGCCUUUGCCGUUGGUGCCUUAUUUCAUGAUCACUUGUUUUCAGUAUUAUUUAUUUUUACUGGAAUUUUUCUGGUGAAUCAUGUUCUAAUGAACUCUGCAGCAGCUGAUUCCACUAACACCCUUCUUCUCACCUUCCAAGAUGUUGUAGAACUAAUGAACCAGGUUAGUACUAUAGUUCCUACUACUUCACCCUGUGAUAUGCUAAGCUGGUGCUGAAGAAAUCUUGUUUCAGUAGCAAUCCUAAAGUGAUAUACACUACCUAACAUUUAUCAUUUUGCAGAUAUUUGUAAACCCUAUGGCUCCAACUAUAUUUCUAGUGGUUCUUCUCUUCUCUAGCCACAUCAUCUCGUUGACAUCUGCUAUUGGUAGCCAAGUGAUUUCGCAGCAUUUGUUUGGCAUUAAUCUUCCUCUCUCUGGACAUCAUCUGAUACUGAAGGCUUUUGCCAUAGUUCCUGCUCUGUACUGUGCUAAGGUUGCAGGUGCUGAAGGAAUAUACCAAUUACUGAUAAUCUGCCAGAUUAUCCAGGCCAUGCUCCUUCCAUCAUCAGUCGUGCCACUCUUCCGUGUUGCCUCAUCAAGAUUGAUAAUGGGUGCCCACAGAGUGUCUUUGCAUCUGGAGAUAUUAACAUUUCUUGCAUUUCUCCUCAUGCUGUUUUCGAAUAUCAUCUUUAUGGCAGAAAUGCUGUUUGGUGACAGUGGUUGGCUGAACACUCUGAAAGGGAAUACUGGAAGCCCUGUGGUGUUUCCAUCUACGGUUCUCAUCACGGUGGCUUGUGUCUCUGUUGCAUUUUCACUCUACAUGGCUGUUACACCACUGAAAUCAGGAAGCCAUGAAGCUGAAUUGCAGCAGGAAUGGUCUGUGCCUUCUCAGAAAGAGCUCUUGAAUACUACUCAAGACAGAGAAGAGACUUGUGCGGGCAAUGUUACCUAUGAGGAAGAUCAGAGAUCUGAUGUUGUCCCUUCUCCUAGGAUUCAGCCUGUGGAUUGUCUGAAAUCAGCUCUGGACUACAUUGAUAGUUCGGACACAGCUAUAGAAUCUGAUCAUGAUUCUCAACAUUCCACUGCUCAUACAUCUACCGCUCCUGAAUCCUGUCACUCUCCAUCAUUCAUUCCUGAAGAGUCAAAAUCAGUUGUUGCUGUUGACUGGCCAGAGCCUCUGGAGCCAAUUUCUAAUGCUAUUGUGGCUGAGGAAAGUACAGUAGAGAGUGUGGACUCCAAGAGCACAGGCGAAAGGGAUAUUGAAGUAGAACCAGCUCUUUUGAUGGACAAUGAUAAGGAGGCUCCAAAUAUUCUAGAGUCUGACAACAAGUCACUUGGAGGCAAUAAUCCUUCCUGUGCAUCGGAUGAUGGCCCACCAUCUCUUACCUUCAGCAGGGGGAAAGGCUCAGAUGCAGGCAAUGGCAGCGGGAGUCUCUCGAGGUUAUCUGGUUUGGGCCGUGCAGCAAGGAGGCAACUAGCAGCCAUACUUGAUGAGUUCUGGGGGCAUCUCUUUGAUUACCAUGGGAAACUCACUCAAGAAGCUAGCUCUAAAAGGUUUGACAUCUUGCUUGGGCUAGACGUAAGAACACCUAGCUCAACUGUAAGAGCAGACAGUCAAGCUAAUGAAAUCCCGAAGAGUCCCAUGGUACGAGACAAUUUACAAGGGUCUGCCUUCUUGGGAAGUUCAAGGGAUCUGAUGUCUACUAAGAAUGAGAUGUCGAAUUUGGAUCUGACAUAUGGGCUUCAGAUGGGCAAUAACAUUGGGUCAUCAGCCUGGUCUCAGGGCAUGCAGUUACCAAGUACCCAACUGCAGAGUUCAAGCAACAGCUUACUCGAUCAAGGUGCAAGAUUAAAUUCAAAUUUUAGCACGCCAUCAUACGCAGACAACAACCAAUUCUACCAACCUGCAACGAUUCAUGGGUAUCAGCUCGCAUCAUACCUAAAACAGAUGAAUGCUAAUCGAAAUCCUUACUCUAGCAUGCCAUUGGACCCACAGCGACUUCCAAAAUCUUCUGCAUCGGCUGUGCCAACCUAUGUCGAUUCUGUCAUGCAUGCUCGUAACCAGAACUUGCUUGCUUCAUUGGGAGCUACUCCUUCACAGAUCGCAGCAACAUCCCGGAUAGGUACUAUGAUGGCAGAAAG